rnacentral:lncRNA from 1 species
AAGAGGAGGGGGAGGCGGAGGGUUGGCAGGCGGCUGCGGCAGCCGGGGGGGCGAGGGGGGUGGAGGGGGUGGACGGGAGGAGACCGGGGUGGCGUUGGCCCGGCGUGCGGCGCGGCGGCUUAGGACGUCGGUCAGGGCCUCAAAAACCUCGCCGGCGAGGUUCGUGGGGAGGUUGCGCUCCUUCCGCUCGUGCCGCUCCAUGGCCCAGUAAGACGGUAGCUCCCCGCCGCCGGCUCGGGCCUCGUAGCCGCGCACCUUCUUGUAGUCGCGGAGGAGGUUGUCCCACUUGUCGUUGCACUGGUUCUGGCUCCGCAGACAGCCGUUGCGCCAGCAGUAGUUCUCGACCCACUUCCACCGUUGCUCCGCGGACCUGGGAACGGCCACGGGGCCGCCUCCCGCGGCGGCGGAGGGGGAGCAGUGCGCCAAGGAGGAGGAGGCCCCGGCGCGGCGUUCGUCGUCGAGGCGCUUGGCGGUGAUGAGGAUGAGGGUCUCGUGGAGCGUCCAGUUGCCCUUGCGGUAGCAUCGGACGAUGCCGCCGGCCGCGGAAGGGGAGGCGGGAGGCUGCGCAUGCGGAUGUGGCGGCGGUUGGUGGUGGUGGUGGAGGAGGGCUAAGGCGGAGGAGUGUUCGGCGGCUUCGGACAUGGCUUUUUGGGCAUUGGCUUCUGCUGCGGCUUUUCUUCUCCUCUCUCUUCUCUCUUUCUCUCUCUACGCUUUUCUUUUUUAGAUUACAGAGAAAGGAAGAGAGAAGCGAAACGGAUAGCGAGGCGGAGCGGGAGGAGGGGACGGAGUUAAGGCUUAUAGUGGUCGGAGGACAGGUAUAAUGUCACCCUUUUUACGUGUAACCCCCUACUCAAACUAUAUAUUCCCAAAAACGCCUUACGAAACCCCCCGUUGAACUUAUAUUGACAGAAGCACUCGUUAUACUUUUUUCGUUUUACCCCCUACUAAUUUGUUUAUUGCCAAAAAAGCCAUAACACCGGCACGGUCCAAAUUAGCUAUGUAACGUUUUAUGUUCGACGUCGGGGGGGUUUUCCAUACCGAAGAUUAUGAAGUGGGUAACGUCGUGGUGAGGUUUAUUAUCCGGUGGUGGAAUUUAGGAGGGGGGGUGUCGAUAAGCUUCAUGCGUUUUCUAUUGUGGGUGUGGAGGGCCAGAAAUCAUAAUCUCGUGACUAAAAAUGCAAAUGUAAUCAGAUGGAAUUGAUGUUGGGAAAUAAUUUAAACAGCCUAAUAUUCUGGUCCAAAACUCAGUACACUGAUUGAGUUUGGGUCAGAUUCACUAUGUGGACCACAGCCUUACGGAUUUAGAUUUAGGUGCAUGUAAGCGACAAAUUUCGGAUGUCGUCACCAACAAAUUUAGUUUUCAGUGGGUUGACUUUCAACUGAAAUCUUACAUUUUUCGAUCAAUCCAUAAGAGUGCUUUGGGUUGGGUUUAUGAAAUUUUAGUUUAACACACUUCUAGAUCUUAUGAUAACAUAUUGAAGAAGCAUAUUAAGCGUGUUUUCACUUCAAGAUCUUAUGAUCAGAACCAUGAAACCUUUCAAGCGCCAUCUGAUGAGUACAAGCAAAGAAACUAACCUCUGAUCUUUUGCAUCCGAUAUCAUCUUCUUCAUCUGCAACAUCACAAAGUUUUGACAGCUUCUUGGUCGGAAAGUUUCUCUAUGUCAUAAGCAAGCAUUCCCACGGCUGCAGCUUUGUGGAGAGUGAGAAGAUAGCCACAGGGAUAAGAUAUCUGAGCUGCUAAAACCCAACACUUGGUGUUUGGGCCAAGAAACAGUGUUAAAGCAAAAAACACAAUUUAUUUUCAGUGCCAACACCAAAGAUCAGAGAUUACAGUACCCUCUCUUCUGGAAGACGAAGCUCAUCCAACUCUAUCGGGAACAGUAACAAUAGCAGCCAUCAGUUUGCUACCCUGAGCAUGAUGAAUGGACAAGAGAAAGUAGUGAAUAUGAAAAGGUCGAAGCCUGAAUUUUGAUCAUUCAUAUGGUCUCAGCAGCAUCUACAGAUGAAAUAAAUGGGGCAUUUUUGGACCUUGUUCAUUGAAAAUAAGUGGCAGAUUAAGUAACCUUAAAGGACUGUAUUAAGCAGAUGAGGAACUUAAAUUGUACGAGUAUGCUAUAUACUUGGCUACCAAACUUAAAAUUGUUUGUUUCUUACAGGCACACAUUUCUUUGCAACCAAAAUUAUUCUUUGACAAAAUGGGGAGAGAAGGUAAAGAAGUUCACAUUAAAAAUGGUUUUAUGAAACAUUUUGGCACCAAGCUAGAAAAAGGAUAUAAGAAACAUGAUUCCAACAGAAUGACCUGAAGAAGAAGAAGAAGAAGAAAGCAUUGCACACAUGAUCAGAUGCUGAGUUCUCUAAUGUAAAACAAACAAAACAUUCUAUUUCUCAAAAGACAAAUCAAAGAAGCAUUAGAAAAAAAAAUGAAUGGGCAGCUGAAAUUCCUAAAAUCCCUUUUCCAGGAGAGAUUACAAGUCUUGAAUACAAGAUAUUUAGAAAAGAGAGAGCAGCAGCUACUUAACAAGGAAGAAAUCACCAUCAGAGUUUAAUAGGAAACUUUGUGCAUAUAUACAUAUAUAUGCUGCCAAAAUGAGAAUUCAUUGACACUUAUAUGCUAUGUGCUGCCACUAAAAUGUUCUGAAAAUUAUACUACAGUGGAUAUUAAUAUGCUUGCCCCCAAGAGGAGGAAAAGAAGAGCAUAUGCAGACCUGGGUGCUGAAGGCUUGUUCAUGCCUCUUCUUCUUCCUUUUCACCAUAGGAAGAAUAGGAAAAAGCUUGGAAACUAAACAGAACAUUUACUUUAGCAUAGUGCAGGUUGUAAAAGUGUGCUAGUAGACCCUAUAUUAUGCCAAAAUCUCCCUCAUAAUUGUGUAACCACAUGAUACUAAAAUUCCAGCAAGCCAUUUGUUUAUUAUUAUCUUUUGGCCUUUUUUUCUUACAACAUAAUUAUUUUAGUUUCUUAGAAAAGAAAAAAAGAAUAGAAAAACAGUCUGUGUUUCUGCAAACAGCCAAAAAGAUAAGACAUCCAGGUGGCUGUUUGAUAUCCUUUUCCUUGAAAGAAGAUUCAAGGCUUUAAUCAAUCGAGGCACAUCCUACUUCCACCACAAAUUGAUAAGACUCACAUGGUCUUACCGCUUUCAGCCGCAACAGUGCCUUGAGAACACCUCAAAAGACCAUUUGCAGAUGAUCAGCUACUAUAAGAGAUGGUUGUCGCCAUCAAGUUGUCGUAGUUGGAGUGGCGUUACGAAGGUAUAGUCACUGGAGACUCAUGAGCUCCUUGUGAGAUAGAAAGACUCCCAUCGAUGUAUUUGAUUCCUGCAGUCUAUAAAUAAAACAACUAUUUAUAUAACAUAAAUCGACUUUCACAAUACCCACAUCUUUUACUAAGUGAAUUGAUACGUUCGAGUCACAUCUGUAAAAUAAAUAAAUAAAUAAAUAAAAAGAUUUAUUUGCAGUCUUCAUUACCCUGUAAAUGUUUGAUAUAGACACUGCACGUAAGUACUCCCUGUAUUCUGGAAACCCAUGGGCGGUUUGUGGGUGCAGGAUGGGGAGGAAGACGAUCGGGUACAGACAGACAGAGCGGCGAAGAGCUUAUCCGUGUUCCCCUGUCCCGGCAGUACAAAAGAAGGAUCACGAAAGCUGGUUUGUGGAUAACGCCGAAUCUAAAACCCAAUAAAGUCUCAUGAAAACCCACCAAUGCUUAUCCUCAAUGCACCUGCUCCCUUUUUAUAGCCUGCUCUCGCCCUACAAUGAAGACUCAGCUUUCUUCCCGUCUCUGCGCAACGACUGCUGCUGUUGCGGUUCAUGUCAGAAUCAUAUGAAGCUGAGGAUUAUAGGCUUGGAAUGAAUCGGUGGAAGAUCUUAGAGGGUGCUGCUCUUGCAGGGUUAACGCAUGGUAGGGUGGAGGGAAGCCUUGAGGUAUAAAGCAGGAAAGUCGAGAGGCAUCAUAGUCGAGAAUGGAUGCUUCUUUGAUCCCGCAAGGCAGCCAUGGGACCAUGGUUGAGGAGGAGGAGCUAAGGUCUGUGUCUUCGUCGUUGGAGAGUUUCUCGAGAAACUCGAACGCUUCUUCCUCGUCCUCGGACUCCAUGGACGACGCCACCUCUUCUGCGUCGCCCUCGUCGCCUGCAACUGAGAAAGACCAACAUGAUCGCGAGCCGCUGAAUGAGAUGUCUUCGCUGUUAGCUCAUCUUCCGUUGAAGUAAGCAUAUAUCCUCAAGUACACCUCCAUGAUUCAAUCUGUCGAGUGCUUUCGGCCUCAUGCUUACGUGCCUUCCAUCCAUGUUUGGGGAUGUACAUGUUGUAUGAGUUUCUCGUCUGCUUACAUCUUGUUGUAUGAACAGGAGAGGGCUGUCGAGGUAUUACCAGGGGAGCUCUCAGACGUUCACAUCUUUGUCCGAUGUGAAGUGCUUGGAGGAUCUUGCCAAGCCUGAGAGACCACACAGGAAGAAGAUGAAGUCUUGCAGGAGUUAUGUUUGGGGAUUGGACAAUCAGAAACCACUGUUUCCCAAACAGUGUUCCAAGACCAUCACAAAGAAGGCUUCCAAGAGUUCAUUGUCUUGUAUUGGUGGAAGGAGGCACAACUUUGUCAGUGGCAGGCCUGCUGUCCCUCCACACAGAUCAAGCAACUUCUCCGGCCAAUCCCUUUUGCUUGCCUAAUCGAAUGGUUGUACAGUUUAAUACUGAUCAGAAAAAUUUUCAUCUUUUCCUCAGAAAAUUAGAGAAGAUGUCUCUCUCUGUCAAAUAUACAUCAAAGAAUAUCCAACAGAUUGAUGAGAAAUUAACCAAAAUAAAGCUAAAUUUUCUGGGCAAAACUUCAUCUUUCACUUCAGAAGAAAUUGGGAAAAAAUUUUGUUAGUUGAUACAUAGGUUGAACGCAAGUUUUGCACUGGGCUGCUCAUACUCCAAAUUAGAUUUAUAUUCUGCUGAAUGUUGAUGGUAGAUUUUGAGUGCUUUUAAUCUUGAAGGACAAGUUGUUGGUUCUCUUCCCCUUUUUUUUCCUCUUUUUUUUUUUGUGUCUGAGACAAUAAGGCAUUUUACAUCAUUUAGAUCAAACCCAAAAUGGAAUAUUCAUUCUUGUCAUUUGCAAAAAUAAAAAUGUGGAUAAGUAUUUAGUGAUAGGAUUUCCAUCUUACUUCACAAGACAACUAUUUCAUGACUCUUAUUAGCUAUUAAAGAUAUUGAUCAUGCUUGAUAGUAUGAUCACUCAAUUUUUUCUCUAAUUGCGACUUCCCCUAAAUUACUUCUCCAAAUUUGAGCACUCUCUAUUUGCAAAAGAGAAAAAAAGUGGGUAAUAAAUGUCACUUUGGCCUUUGCAACUAAUAGAAACAAGAAGAAAGAGAAAGUUGGGAAUAUCACUCAAAAUUGGCAAAGAAAAAAUAAUGUUGAUCAUCACACUUUAGCAUUAACCAAGCUCAGAAAGCUUUAUAGCAAGAACUGCCAAGCACACUCAAAACAUAACAAUGAGCAGUGCAGCAAUGAGUCAGAUCUCUGGAGGUACUCAAGGCAGCCCCCUCCAGUCCACUGCAUCACAGCACUAACUGUAGCAUUUCAGCCAUAUCUCACACCACCAAAUCCAGUACAAAGACUUGCAAACUUGCUUCCACCAUGAUUGCUCCACUGCACAAUGCAGAGAUGAGGAAUACAGGAAAUUGAUUGUGUUGAUUCUCUUCACAUGUGGUAUGUUUCUUCAGCUACACACCCUGAGAGUAAAAUUUAAGUGAGCUGCACUUUCCCCAGAGAAUUUAAAGACUGAGUUGAGAUCCAUUUCUUUGUCUGAUGGCCAGAGUGAAAUAUAUUAGAAUCGUCGUCCCCAAGCAUGACCUGCCAAUUAAGACCAGAGAAAGAUACAAUCGAGCAUUAUCGUUUUAGGAGACAUCUGAGUGUAACUUAACUACAAGUAAAUAAAACAAAGCAAGGAAGCAUAGAAAUGCAAAUGGUGAACUGUCAGGAUUCAAAUGAGUAAACAGGUACCAAGUGCUGAUAGACCUCGAGCAAUUGGAUCCAAUCAAUAAUUGGAUGUUUUCCAUGUUUAGCCAUUUAAGGCACAUCAACCUAUAACAGCUUCAAUAUAUUUGCAGGGUCCAUUGCCAAGGAAUGCUCAUUUAAUUGGGGAAGGGACCACGGGUACAUGACAUAGCAGUAAUGAUUGCCAACCUUAUUAUGAAUUUUUCCUACAUUUGAAUUUUUGGUAGGUAAAGUAGUUAAGAAGUCCAGGUGACCUUAGUAAAAUGAACGAUCCAGUUACAAGUAAUUGAUGCCACAAACCAAUUCACAGUAACGUUUGCUUCUGCAUUCGUAGAAAAUGAAAUUGCGUCAGUAAACAAUGAAGUAUUAUUAUCACUGAAGACUGAAAUGCUUAUUUGCUGUGUUAGAAGUAUCCUGAUGGAAACUAAUCCAUAGGACAGGGUUGUGGUCAACCAGGUCAGACUGGACCGUAAAACAAAAUUGAUGUUUGUGCAGGUUGAAGCAUCGUCUAAUUGUUUGGCAACAAGUUUGUCACAGACUAGUACUUAAGGUUUAUAUGUUAAUACUAUUACUGAAAUUUUUCAUUUUACAGAAAUAACUUGUCUAACAAACAAGCAUAAAGCAUCAAAUUCGUCUUGUAGAUGAAUAAGAAAAUGGUCAUGAGAAUCAUUAUGAAAAGCUGAAGAGGAAAAUUCGAAAAUAUCUGAUAACAAAUGGAGUUGCACAACUUAGUAUGAUAACAUGAGUUUUAUAGAAUUCAAAUGGUCGGUCAUGCUGUUUCCGUAGUAAAUGUUUAUCAAGGCACUUACAUGGUGGCAAAGACAAGAAGAACUCUGUGUGGAUGGAUGACAGAUAGACGAUUUAAUCUUUUGUGCCCUUCUCCAGAAUCCAGAAGCAUGGGAGCAUUUGCUGCAGAUUGCGCUGUUGUGAGAGAUUUGUUUGUCAGCAGGGACUGCUUCAGCUGCUCCAGCUGAGAAGGUGCAGCUGCCAAGAAAAAGGCAUUCAAGUUAAAAGUCAGGUGGAGUUACUACAAUUUGACAGUCUCAUGCCAUUAUGAGAACAUUGGCAGAUAGUGAACCUUAAUUUUUAACAGCACAAACAAGGUCAAGUUUCAUUCUCAAUAUCCAGUGUGUCGCAACGUGACACACUUGUUGUAGAAAGUUCAUUUUCUACGAUGUACACACAAUUAUAAGUUACAGAGUUAACAAUGUACAACACAAUGUUAUGUGCCUUUUAAUGAGGAAAUUAGUUGUCGUAGAAAGUUCAUUUUCAGAAAUAGGUUGAUACUGCUACCUGGUACUGGCUGAUGCACAAGUCGGUUUUGUGCAGUUAACAUAGGAAGCUUUUGAGAUGGAAUAUUAAACCAAACCAGUUUUUAGUGUUAAUUACAUAUGCUACAUACUUUCCAAAAAUUCAAGAGGGUCAUGGAAAACAGGAUUAUGUACAGCACAUACCUUUGGCCACAAGCCUUUUGGUUUCAUCAUCUGCUUCUUGCUCAUCACUAGUCCGUUUCUCCAUGCGGUUUGAUCCCUUACGAGAAAGUGCCUUCUGUAAAUCAUCGAAGAUUUAUAAAGCUAACAAAUCUAGCAACUAUUUUGUAUAUACAUAUUCCAUGAUAUUUAUAUAUACAGCAAAGAAGGACAAAGUUGAAAAUUGUAGUACACACAGUCAUCUUUGGACUCCCAGCGUAGCAUUUCUCAGGUGGCUGUGUAAGAUUGUCAAUGUCCAAAACCACAUAUCCCCCUUUAUCCAUGGCGGUGACCUGGCAUUGCAGAGAAGUGGAUGGAAAUCAUAAGGUGCUAAAAAAUGAGACAAACAAUAUCACAUGAAGGCACCAAAGGAACUUCAAGAACACCAAAACAUGGUGGCGGAUCACGUUCCAUUAAACAGAUGUUAACUAAUUAAAAUCUUGAUUUAAACCGUGUAACCAAACUCACUUUUACUACUGCAACAAAUAUCACCAUAUACAAGCUUUGUAAGAGUUUCCUAGUUCUGCUGUUUACUUUUUUCCAACAAGUAUUCCAACCUAACAGUAAUAGUCUUCCAUUUCCACAUUCUUUCAUUUUUUUACAUUCAAGCUGACUGCAUCAGUGUGAGAGUGGUGGUGUCAUUACCAGACAAUUGCAAUCACUAAUUUGCUAUUACAUUCUCCUCUUUAUGACUUCCGAUCUGUUUAUAUUUCUCUUGACCUUAUUCUUGAUCAGUAAACUUAUUCUGCCAUCCCCUGCAUUGUAGCAGUUAAUAGUUAGUGUCAUUCCCACUUGCAGUCUUAAUGUUUGAGAAGUCAUCAGCAUCAAAGAAACCAAAAUUUUAUACUAAUAAUGUUCAGUAACUUGUGUUAAAGACUUAAAGUCACUUCCAUCUUGAGAAAUCACUUCAAGUAGCUUCUAAUUCCAAGUCGGCUGCCACCAAAGGGCCUCUCACUGCUGUACAAUUUUAGAUAACAGAGAGCUUGGCAAUGCAUAUAGUAACCUCAACUGCAUCAUCACAACGCUCCAAACAGUGAUGUUCUAAUAGGUCAGACCUAGCAAAUUAUUUAUUAGGACAUGCAAAAAGAUGUAUCCCUUUGAAACGGAAUCUAACAAUAUCUUUUUGGUCCCACAGAAAAUGGAGCUUAUCAAAGAACAAAGUAGACCUAUAAUUAAUUGCAUGUGGAUCUGAAUCGUAUAUAGCCCACCCCCAUUUUUUUUUGCCAUAAAAUAACAUAUCUGUAUGCAAGCAUUUUCACAGGAGCAACAUGAUAUAAAUGUGGAAAAGACCAAACGGAAAUUUUCAUUCGAAUCCAAUAUCUGUAGAUAUUGAAUGCUAGUGAUAGAAAAUUAUGAGGCAAAAAAAAGGAAAGAAAUAUUUUUUUGAACAAAAAUUCAAAAAGCCAAAUUUUCAAGAAGCAAUGAAGAACGAAGAGGAACCACCGCUCUUGCUAAUAUACUCAUCUGAGGUUUCUGUCUCUCAAUUAGCACUAUGGUGUUCCUGAAGAAGCAUCUAAACCUAUAAAAUUGCCCCUUUUUGACAUCUCUUACGUUUGAUCCUCAACUGAAAACAAAUGGAGUCAAUGAAGGGAAGAGAAGCCGCCCUUUUACAUACAAAUUGCAUACUUUGAUGCGUUCAAGGACAGAAAAAUGAAGGAAAAGAAGAGAGAUGAAGACUACAAAUGUAUGCAGAGCUAGAAAAGGAACAUUGACACAGAAUAAUGCAAGAACUAGAUGUCUACUAAACCAAUGUACUACUACAUAGAAGCAGAAGCCUCAGAACGAAACGCACAUGGAGUAAGAUUUUCUCUUCGUUUCCUUAUCAUACUCGAAUAGUAGAGCUAUCCAAUGUGGAUGAGAACUGUACCUCUUUUCUCAACAGGAAACUGGAAGCGAAGCAAAAGCAGAGAAGGCACAAUGGAGAGGAAACAGCUGUUGGAAACGAAUACGAUGGCUUCUUUUUUCCUUCUUCCCUUUUGCAAAUGUCGAUCCUACCAUCGAUUUGUGGGCAUAACUACUCUCGAGAUGGGGUAAGAGGGCAAGAGCACCAGGCUUUAACAGCCACCUUGGCCUCAGAAAAAGAGAAAAGUGCAGCAGCUGCUGCUGCAACACCACCACCACCACCACAGGAGAGAGGGUCUCUCGGAACCGAGGAGGCACUGCAGGAAAAUGUCUCCCAUUUUAUAAGGUCCUGCCACAAAUGGCUCCCAUGCCAUGUCCAUCUCUCCCUUUGUCAGCAAAAAAAUGCCAUUUUUAACUGCGUGACAGCCAGCAAAAGAAUGCCUGUGAGUUACGGAGAGAAAGGUGUGCGCAAGCAUUAGUUUAACCUGGAUCCCACCUACACUUACUGGAUCUCACCACGUGUGCUGUUCUUCUACUUGCUGGGGAGUUCAACCUCCGCAAAGCCCGGGUUGUAAUGAUCGCCCUGAUGAAUUCGGAUCAUACUCUACUCCCGACGAUCCUGUUAAGUAGGUGGAUCGAAUCUCUCCUGUAUCUCGUUGUCUCUUCUGGCCACCGAGAUCCCAUCACUCUUGCGAGUUUGCAGAAUGAUUCAGCCAAUCUAAAUUAUACGGUUCAUUCUUGCACGAAGAGUUGAUGUUAGUAUCCAACACUUGCAUGAAAACGCAGCUGGUGAUCACCACAGAAAGCGUUAUGGGACUCUCCAUUCUCGUGUUCGAAAGUUCAAGCUAUUGAGUGUCAGAUGCAUCAAACGCAUGCUCACAAGAACCUGCACAGCUGCGCGGGAAAUUGCACAAAGAACAGAAGAAACAUGGAGUGAUGUCAUGUCCAUGGAAGGCUCCCAAGAAUAGUACAUCAAUGAUUCGUUGCCCGCUCACGGGACUCGAAAUCGUACCCCAAGCAGUCUCCCAUGAAUACAAAAUGGCGUGGAAGCCAUGUCGGUCAGGAUUAUAAGUGCAAUUUAAUGCGUCUUUUCAGCGUCUGCCAGCAAAGGCAAUCCACUUCCCUACCCGCUACUCUCGUCAGCUUAGACUCAAGCUCGUACCAACCAGAUUUGUUUACUUUCUUCGGUCGCUUCCUCACGUAUGCAUCUCUCGAUGAACAGAGCAGCAGAUGAAACCGGAAGGUUCAGAGAAUGAAGAAGCAGAACUUGGGAUGUCUCCGACUUUAAUUAUUGCUGGGAAUCGACUGGCGGUCGAACUCUCUCGGCUUCACAAUCACACGAUCAAGAUAGACUCUUCCGAGUUCUCUCUGCCCUCCAUCUUCGUCUCCAUUUCCCUGCGGGAGUCAAGCGGUGAUCUCGAAUGUAAAUUUCCUCCCAUGGCCAUCACGGACUCACGCUGUGGUGAACUGUUGUUUCAGGAAGAUUUGAAUCGACGUUGGUGGUUCCAAGCUCAUCAAACGCUCGACUCUCUCCACAAUCAACGCCAUGGGUCAGGCACAUGCGCGUUUUGACGAAUCUCGAUGAUGAUGAUGAUGUGAGGAUGGAGCGGGCAGAAUUGGGUAAUGAAUCUUCGGACUUCUGGCACGCAGAGUAGUUGGUGGUGGUUAGUGGACCUCAGGGGUUUAUUACUAAAUGUAAUCUUAAAAAUCUAAUUUAAAAGUGGAUUAGAAAAGAUUCGAUGAUUAGAUAAUCAUUGCCUACAACAUUAUAUUUGAUGUUAAAAAUAUAUCCUGAAUGAUUCAUAUUUAAGAUAUUGUUUUCUUUCAUAGUCGAUCAAAUAUUUUGGGAUGUUCGACAAGUUUGGUGAGUAUAAUUCUAAUUCGAUUCAGAACCGUGAAAUCAAAUAUUUUGGGAUGUUUGAUGUGGCUUGUGGUAGGCAUGGAGCAACCAUGUCAACAAGAGCGUCGAGCACAAGGUGAUGACCAACGGAGCCAUGGAGAGGUAUUCGGUGGCAAACAAUCAAUCCCGUAACCAUCUUAAUUAGUCUCACAUGAAUUCAAAUUAACUUAAAAUGAAUGUAUUAUUAUUAAUUUUAAUUUAGUCAUUUUGAUUAACGAUUUAGGCUCAAUAAAAUUACUAAAAUAAUUAUCUCAUCAAAGUGAUCAAUGUAGGAAUCCACUUGAUUAUGAUGUGAUCCCAGAUGGAAAGUGGGCAUUAGCAUUUAGGGUGGAGAGACCCCGUGCACCAUGCCAGCUUUGGUCCGAUUUAUCUUGUUCUUUUUCUCUCCUUCAUAUUUUAUUUUAUUGUUGUUCUUUGGAGUCAUAUGGGUGUUUGCUACGAUCGAGUACGUUAAACUAUAUGAUUCUAUUUAAUUAGAUAAGAUAUAUUAUAGAUUUGAUUAUAUUCUAAUUAUAGUUAUCGAUUAAUUAAAAGAAAAUUUACUUAUGAUAAGAUUCAUUACGAGAUGAGUGUGACGAAAAGAACUUUUCUAAUUAGACCUUUAUUUUUAAUUAUAAAAAGAUGACUUCUUACGGAUGAAUCAUCAAAAUUUAAAAUUAUAAAUAUAUUUUUAAUUUUUUUAAUCGAUAUUUUAUUAUAGUCAUAUAAAGGAUAGAAAAUGAUAUAAUUCUCCUUAUAAAUCAAUAUCAUUGCUUCAUUCGAAGUGAAUGACGGUGUAUUUGCAUAUUAGAAUAAAAAUAUUCUGAAUGACAUAGAAAGGAAUACAUUCAUAAUAUUUUAUUUAUAAAUAUUUAAUUUUAAUAUUUGAUAUUAAAUUUUUUUUAUAUAAUAGUAUAAUUAUAGUUUUAAUGAUAACAAUUGGUAUAAAAAAAAUUUUGAAAUCAAAAUACAUUAGAUCAUAAAAGUAUAUCUAAGUUAUUUUAUUUUUAGAUCUGUUUCUUAAUGUUCUUGGCUGAUCGACAGGCUGUUGAGGGCAGCUGACUGGUGAGACGGUUGCUGCGUACAGUAGCCGAGCAGCUGAAGUGCUAUGACAAUCCCAUUUCAUGCGGCUGUUGCCACCGUCGGUGGUAGCUACUUUAGUGGCGUUGCUCCUACCUACAACGGUAAGAUUUGGUCGCAGGCGGCGCUACACAUCGUCGGGUGCGCUGGCACGAAGAAAUAGCGGACGACAGGAGGGCAGCGGCUGUGUAGGUAGUUGCCGGCCGUAGAGAGGAUCCUACCUUCGGUGAGGGUGAAGCAGGUUGCAACAUGGUGAUGGCCAUUUUCCAAGGUAGGGUGGAGGCCGCCAGUGAGCGAUCACGUGGUCAUAGAUGGUGGCCUGCUGCAGAGGGAUUGCGACGGCGACUCACAGUGGAGGCAUCGCAUUGGCGGGGUUGUAUCAUAACACGCCCCGGACGGUGGACGCACUGUAGGAUGGUUCCACGGACGAUAGCAUAGGCGGCGACGGGCGUCAAUGCAUGGCGACCACGUGACGGAGGUUCCGCGGUGAGGAAGGCCAUGGGGUGUCCACGGCAAGGUGUCGCCUGCCGAUCCAAUGAAAAGUGGCCGCCGUGAGGUUACCACACGGUGUUUGCUGACCGAGGCCGGCGCCGCGCAAGCACUGAAGGAGCUACACGCAGGUUGCGCCGGAGGAGCCGCGCAGGUUGGUGGAGGCGUCGCGUGGUGCUGUAGUGGAUGCAGGUUGUCGGUGGGUCAUUAGCUGCCAAGGAUCGUGCGCGGUGGAGAAGCCGCAGAUCGCGGAGGUGCCAUGCACGGGCAAGAUUUAGUGCUGAUUUAGUCAAGAUUCAAUUUUGAACCAAAAUUGUCCGAGCCUUAUAAUUUAGGCUUUUAGAUUCUUGAUCUAUGAAUUUUGACCUGAUCAAUCCUGAUUUUGUCUUAAUUUGGGGAAGUCCAAUUUUUAACCUCGAUUAUGGCCUAAUCUGAUUUCAAGUUCGAUCAAUUUUUACCUCGAUUAAUCUUAAACUUUGACCAGACUUGAAUUUUGACUAUAGCUUAGCUGAUUUUGAUCUAGCUUGAUUUAGACUUAAUUUGAUUAGAAUUUACUUUUUGAUCAAUUUUGUUCUCGAUCAAUUUUUAUUUUUAUCGUAUCCUAAUUUUGACUGAAUAUGACUUUAGUCAACUGACCUAAUUAGAGUGAUGUUAUGCUCAAAUCCAUAAACCCAAUUCGGAUAGUCCAAUUCAAGACUUAAAUAGGGUUGAUUGGUUUAAUUUAGGGUUCAUAUGAAGUUUUUAAAAAAACAUAUAAAUUAUGAUUUUUUAUAAUUUUCUCAUAUGAAAUAUUGGUAAUUUUUAUUUACUUGUGGUGAUUAAAUUUUAAUUAUUACUUUUAGAUAUUUAUGUGAUUAUUCAUAUGUAUAUUAAAAAAUAAUAAAAUAUUAUUUAGUUUUUACAUAAAGGAAUGAUUUAUGUUUUAUAAUAAUUAUAAUCAUUAUAUAAGUUUUUCUUCAUGCUUAUUAAUAUUCAAGAAUUAUUAUAGUUAUUAUAUUAUUAUUAUUAAAUGAUAUAUAUAUAUAUAUAUAUUAAAUAAAUAUUAUUUAUAAAUUAUUUAUUAAAUUCUAUUUAACUUGUAACUAUCAAAGUAGCCUAAGAUGAUAAACUUAUAGAAUGUGAAUUAUAAUAAAUAUUUUAUUAUUUAUAUAAUAUUUAAGAUAUAUUUUAUAUUCUUAUAUUUCUCUCGUGGCUCCCACAUGUAUUUUAUAUAUAUAUAUAUAUAUAUAUAUAUAUAUAUAUAUAUAUAUAUAUAUAUAUAUAUAUAUAUAUAUAUGUAUAUAUAUAUAANNNNNNNNNNNNNNNNNNNNAUAUAUAUAUAUAUAUAUAUAUAUAUAUAUAUAUAUAUAUAUAUAUAUAUAUAUAUAUAUAUAUAUGUAUAUAUAUAUAUAUAUAUAUAUGUAUAUAUAUAUAUAUAUAUAUGUAUAUAUAUACAUAUAUAUACAUAUAAACUUGAGCAUAUAUAAUUUACACUAUUAAAACUAUUACAAAUUCUAUGAAAUAAUUGAAAAAAGUCUAUUUAUGCUUAUCUUUAUGACAAUUACUAAUAAUAUUUAGAUUUAAUUAUAUAAUAUAAUUUAUAUACUAAAAUUUGUUAAUAAGUCAUUGAUUAACACCUUAAUGAAAAUUUGAUCAUACAUUGAUAUUACAAUAUUCAAAAAAUUCUUGAAUAUAUCCUUAUUAUAAUUGAUAAAACUAUAAAACUCAAGAAUGUUACACAUAGCGAGCCCUUCUCGUGUGAUUCAUUUUUAGUUUUCUUUCUUCUUAGUUUGUCUUAUUUAAAAGUUAUUAUAAUAUAAAUAAAGAAUAACUACAAUUUAAAUGAGCUGACUGGCAUAUGAAAAAAAGUCUCAUUAUAUUUUAAUUACUACUUGAAGAAUAUAUAAUAAUAAUAAAAAUUGAAGCAUAAUUUAGCAAGUAAAUAAUAUAAAUCAAUUGAGUUUAUAAAGACUAUACAAACUCAUUAAAAAAAAUCUUUAUAGUAAAAUGCUACUUUUGUAGUAAGAAAGGUAAUAUGAAAAAUGAUUAUAAGAUUUGUUGUAAAAGGAAAUGAUAUAAGUUGACGUUUAUAUGUUUUGAAUUAAAUAUUAUAUAAGUCUCUUUGAAUAUUCGAUAGAUUAUACUUGAUGCUUUUGACUCAUGUUACUAAUAAUGGAAAGAAUUUUGUUUUAACCUUAAAAAGUCAAACAAAUAUUAAAGAUUCAUCAUUACAUCAAAUAAUUUUAAGUGAUAGUUAUAGUUACUCAUUACCAACAUUUAAAGAUGAUUCAUUUGAUAAAUUUUGAGAAUUGAUGCUAUGUUCCUAUAAUUCUAGAAAUUUAGUUUAUUUAUUAAGAAUUAUUAUGAAAUUAUCUUUCUUUUGCUGACGAUAAACUCGGUAUAGUUUAUGAUUUAAUAAAAGUUGAUUAUGAAAUUUUGUAUAUUUUAUGAUUAUGAAAUCUUGAGUUUAUAAUGAUCCUAAAGUCAAAUAUUUGGAUAUAUAUACUUAGAUAUGUGGGUCAUUCUCUUUUUUCAAUUAUAUAUAUAAAAAAUUAAUCAUCUUUAUAGAUGAUUUGUUAAAAUAUGACUAUAUAUAUCUAAUUUAAUAUCUUAGGCUUAUGACACAUCUUAUGUAUAUAUAAAUAAAGUUGAGAGAUAAUUAUAUAGAAAUAUUAAAAUUUAUUAGAUUUAAUAAGAAUAGUAAAUUUAUGGAUGAGGAUCAUAAUUUUGAUCUCUUUGCUAUAUACAUAUAUAAUAGUGAAUUAAUAGGAGCAAUAAUCUUGAAACAUAAUAAUGGGAAUAUAUCCUUUAUCAUUUUCUAUUCAAGAAAUUAUUGUUUCAUCACUAUGAAUUGAUGAGGGUAAAUAAUAAACUAAUAUUGAUAAACUCCUAUGAUGUUGAUGUGAUUGUUAAUAAUCUUUAAAAUGACCUCAAUCAAUAGCUUUAAGAAGAUCUUAAAGAGAAAAAGAGAUAUAUCAUUUUUUAUAAUUAUGUGAUAUAUUUAUAAAAAUCAGAUUAUAACAGAGGAAUUAAAAGAGACAUUUUAUCAUUUUCACAUGCCAUGAAAAGUAAUGAUUGUAAAAGGUAAUACAAUGUAAUAAAAGAAGAGUUAAUAUUAAUGGACUAAAGUGGAAUUUGAAAAGUCAUCAAAUUAUCUAAUAAUUAUAAAAGGUAAUGACGAAUGAUAUAAAGUCAGAUUUGAAAUCAAAUAUUUUACUCAAGGAAGGUAUCGAUCAUAAUAAGAUAUUUUUUUUUAAUUUUUAAAUAAACUCGUUAGGAAUUGUCAUGGCAUUGGUAGCUACUUAUAAUUUUAGGUUAUAUCAUAUAAAUAUGAAAAUUUAAUUUUUUUUAAUGGGGAUAUAGAUGAACAAAUUUACAUGAAAUAACCAAAAGGAUUCAUAGAGAAGAAAAGGAAAAUUUGACUUGUAUUUGGACGAUGGUAUAUAAAGUUUCAUAAUAUUAUUACUUCCUACGAAUUUAGACAAAAAUUAAAUAAAAAUAUUUUUUUAAAUGGAAAAUCUAUUAUAUGCUUAAGCCUAUGCUAAAUCAUAAUAAAAAUAGCCAAUCACGUAAGUGAUGACACGUGUGACUUGACACAUAGUCUUUUUUCAUAUUAUUAUUAUUGAUUAAUAUUUUAUCACUUUAUAUUGCCUAUUGUAUAAAUAUAUUGUGAUGUCUAUGAAUUUGUGUAAUGAGAAUCAGAUCGUGAAGAAAGUAAUGAGACUGAUUUACCUUUAAACACAGAUCCUAAAUAAUCUAAAUCAUAAGUUACUCAAGAGGGACAUCGAGAUAACCAAACAGACUAGUGUGUUGUAUAUAUAUCCAUAUGAUGGAUGCAGUUGGUCCUAUAGCUGCUCGUGUGGGGAUACUCAGGAUACAAUGCAGGUGCUCAUUGGAGAAUGAGUUCACUGAUUGAUCCACUUACGGAAUGCUGGAUGGUUGAUGAUGCCUUAUUGUCAGACAACUAUUCCGUCGUCCUAGUAGUGUAUUUGAUCUUUAGACUUGAGACACAAAGGAUGUCUUGUAUAAGUACUACACUCUUUGAUGCUAAACUUACAAGUUUGGAGAUUCCAAAUCUAACACAACUGAUUAUUGGGAGUGGUAGCUAACCUUACGAUGAUUAUUGAGUGUCGAUAAAGGAUCAUCUGCUCUCGAUAUCAUAAGAGGAAUAUCCAUGUAUUCUUGCUGAGAUAAAUCCCUAGCUAGGGUCAUUCGGAUUGAAAGAGAGAGUUCUCCGAGAGAAUCCAAUUAGAGUAAGACUCGAGUAAAAACUAUAUGGGCCUGACAGUACCAUGCCCGGUAUAUGAUCUUUGGGGUAUUAGAUGGAUGAGAGAUUAUAGAUAAAUAGUAACUGAGGACAGAUAGGUCCAAAAUAUUGGAUUUCUUUGUAUCGUUUGGGGACUGUGGCAUAGUGGACUAGUAUGUCUGCAAUCGAUGAGUCGAGUGAAUUAUUAUGAAGAUAAUAAUUCACUAAGCCAAAAGGAGUUCUGACAGGUAUGACUCACGGCCAACUUGAUAUUGAGCCUAGAGGGUUACACACAUAUAAUAGGUGUUGCGACGAGUAGAGGUUCUGAUAUGAGAUAUCCGCCGGACCUCCUAUCUUAUUGGAUAUCUAAUAAGCCACUGAAUUAUUGGAUCUUAUGGAUGAGAUUAAAUAAAUUGACAAUGGACCUUUAUAAAUAGGAGGGAACCAAAUACUCAUACACUAGAGGUUUGCUAGGUUAUCACCUCCUAUUCUCCUCCUCAGAUAAUAGGCCUAGAGAUUUGAGGAGCGUCGUUGCAGCCCUGGUGUGUAGAUCAUUGUUGAAGAAGAGGACGCUUGACCUCCUUCAUCAUCUCUUAUAGAUCUACAAGGAUUUAGGGAUAUACGAUCUCCUUAUGUAACACAACUAUUGGUUUUUAGUUUUGCAGAUUUUGUGCAUAAAUCUUCGCACGAUGACGAACAUAUUUUUAAAAAAAUUGGGGAUUUUAUUUUUCUAUUCUUCUACUACGCAUGUGAUAUCGCCCAUAUAUUUCCCUACAAUGGUAUCAGAGCUAAGUGCGAUAUAUUGAUUUUGAAUUUGGUGUGUUAUGUUUUAGAGAAGCUUUUGAUGUCAAAAUCGUUGACACAAUAGCGAGAAAGGGCAGCAAUUGUUGUUGCCCUUGCUGUCAUUUAUGAGCGUGCAGUCUCCUGCAAUGACAGUCGCAAGGGCAACGACCAUAGGCAGGCGGCACAACGUAGGUGCAAGCGUAGCAAUUGUUGCUCAGUGCAGGCGCUAUGCUUGUAGCAGCAAGCUGAGGACCUGCUUGCAUUAAGCUUGCGACCCGUGGGCGCAGCCUACGAGCAGCCCACCCGCAAGGGUGAUUUAACGCCCGUAAGCAAGGCGACGCUAACGGGCACUGCACCCGUAGGGGCAGCGCCCGCUAGCAAGGGCUACCACCGGCAUGGUGGCAAUGACCACAAAAAGCAAAGGCAAGGGAGGGAAUUAGGUUUUUGGACAAAAGAUAGUUUUGCCCUUAAAAUUUCAGAAAUUUCGAGUUCUAUCAUUUUUUUUGUCCAAAUUAUGAAAAUACCUCUCUUAAUUAAAAAAAACUUCCUAAAUGUCCCUAAUUUUAUAAAAUAUUAAUUAAUUAAAAAGUUUAAUUAAUUAUUAUUAAUAUUAUCUAUUAGCCUUACAUAAUGAUAUUUACAUAUGAUCUAUGAUGUGGACGGAUGAUCAUGAACCGUGUGAUGUGCGUGUACUUGUAGUUAUUAUUGGGGCUUGUGAGCUUCCAUUUUAUUUCUCGUUUAUUAGUGGGCCGGCGUGCCUAUAAUUAAGUUGUAAUCACACGAGGAGGCGCAACGGGAGUGUGAAAGCGAUAGUAGGACCCACGAGGUCGAGACGGAUGAUCGCGAUACAUAGAUUUUGAUGUGAGUGAUUAGGCCCACUAGCUCGGGCCUGAUCACAUUAGGUUGUAGUCCAUGAUCAUCUGGUAUGAUUGCUUAUGUGAUAUGUGAUUGCUUAUACAUAUACUAGAUAUGUAUAUAUAUAUAUAUUUGUAUGUGAUGUAGAUAUAUAUUAAAUAUGUAUGUGUAUGAUAUGUCAUACAAGGAGACCAAAUCAAAAUCCCUUCUCUCGAUAAUAUUAAGUCGGUAAAUGUGAGGCAAUUAGAUUGACCCAUAUGAUAUUCCAUCAUUAUAGGUAAGGAUCGAUUCUCGAUGUAGAUUGAGUUGGUCGAGUCCCUUGAGGCUCACCUAUAUCGUGAUUCGCUAUCUUGCCUACGACAUAGAGAUGUCACCGGUGACUUAGAACAUGAUAUGCUUGGUCGAGUCCCUCGAAGGUACAUCAUCGAAUUAGACUCAUAUUGUAACGAUGGUGUUGAUUUAACCAAACAUCAUGGUUAGUCGAGUCCCUUAAGACCAUGGUGGUUCAGAGGUCGAAUAGGACGAGAAUCACAAGGUGUUAUGAUCAGCAAGAGUUGCCUACCUUUUGGGUUUAGUGUGAUUGGUCGAGUCCCUCAAGGUUACACUAAAAUGCUGAUUUGAUCCCGAUCCCCACUAAAAGUCUGCCGGAGACUUCUGUUUCACAUGCUGAGGGUGUUGUAUGACUCGCCAAAAAAAUAAUGAGAGUAGAUUAAAAUAGAAGUUCAUAUCUUAUUUAUUUAUUUUUUUACAAAAUAUACAUGCUAUUUAUUUCUAUUGCAUCUUUAAUUUCAGAAAAUAUCAUUUUCAAAUCUCUUACGUGGCAUACUUGAUGUCAACCGCAUCAUUAGUCCGAAUUAUAUAGAUUGGCUCCGCAACUUCAGAAAAUCACGUACGUUUUUGAUACAAUGAUGCCUACACCCAAGGAAGGGGCAAGCGACGAUCAGAUCACUCGCUACGUGAAGUGCAUAGAUGACUCCACUCUUGCUCAAUGUUACAUGUUAUGCUUCAUGACUCUUGAGUUACAAAGAUAACACGAAAAAAUAGAUGCUAGAUCCUUUUUUUCAUAUGUCCGUAAAUUGUUUGAGGAACAAAGGACUCAGUGACAUGAAAUAUCCAAGAGCCUCUUCCACGCUAGGAUGAUUGAGGGGAUACCGGUUUAGAACCAUGUUCUAAAGAUGAUUGAGUGGAUAGAAAAACUCACAGGUCUAAGAUUGGUCCUAGAGGAUAACCGGAUCUUGUGCUUCAGUCCCUACCAAAUUCUUUUUCACAGUUCAUAAUGAAUUUUAAUAUAAAUAAGCUUCAGGUGACUCUCCCUAAGCUCCUCAAUAUGUUGAGAGAGACAGAGAGCACUAUCAAGAAAGAGAAGCCAAUACUCUCUACUGGUGAGACCGGAAAGAAAAGGAAGGCAGAAAAAUCCCUUAAGAAGGGUAAGGGCAAGGGCAUACCAGGUAUAACAAAGCUUGCUAAGAAAGACCCAGCAAAGGACAAAUGCCAAUGUUUCCACUUUGGCAAAGAUGAGCAUUGGAAUUGGAUACCUAACAGAGAUGGUGAAAUAGAAGUUUGGAGAAGCUUCAAGUACAUCCAUGAUCAAUCUCCAUUUAUCAGACUCUUAUGAUACUACGUAGGUAUUGGAUACCAUAGUAUAAAUUGAGGUCAUUAAUCAAGCUUUAUGAUUAUGAUAUUUAAAGAAUAUGUUCUCAUGAUUGGACUCGUGAGUAACCCAUAAAUAAUAUGGUGAUACAUGUUUGAGUAAAUAUUAUAAUUAAUAUUUUUAUUUACAUAAUUAAUAUUAUUUGUUUAUGCUAUUCUAUUUAUAUAUAUAUUAUAAAUGAUUAUGAUAAUAUAAUUAUCUUAAAAAGAUAAAUUAUAUAGAUCGCUGUAUUAUGAAAGAUUAACAGUGUUAUGAUACAUAAAAGGAAGUAUGACAUUGAUGAUAUAUAAUAAUUAUGACUUACAUGAGUAGUCGAACUUAAUAUAAUAUUAUUAUAUUUAUUAAACUUGUUCACCUAUUUUAAAAUUUUUGGCCAUGUGUAAAAUACUUUUAAAAACUUUUAGAAUAUAAUUAAGUAAAAUUAUUUUUAAAUAAAAUUUUAUUUUUAUUUUUAUUUAUUUUUAUUUUUUUAUAUCUUAUCAUUUAAUGGGCUUAGAUCAAGUGACCCUAUUUAAUUAAGUAGUAUAUAUUAUUGAUUUGAUUAAAUUUUGAUUAUGAUUAUCGAUUAAUUGAAAAAAAAUCCAUUUAUUAUAAGAUUACUUAUGAGAUGAUGUUGAUGAAAGUAAACUUUUAAUUAUAAUCUUAUACCUUUUACUCUCGCUUAUAUAAUGAUAGAACGAUGGUAUAUUUAUAGACAAAAAGAGUAGAGAAAACAAGCCUAAUUCUUUUUAUAGAUCAAUAUCGUAGCUUUCCUUAUAUCAAACCAUACUACGUUUGUAGAUUAGAAGAAAAAUAUCUUGAAUGACUUUGAGAGAUGCAUAAUCAUAAUCUUUGAUAAAUGAUUAUUUGAUUUUAUUUUUUAAUAUUAAUUUUUUUUAUAUAACAAUGUAAUUAUAAUUUUUAUAUUAACAAUGAUUAGUAAUUUAAGCUUAAUAAAAUUAACAUGAUAAUUAUCUCAUCAAAUCGAUCAACUCAUGAACCCACUUCUGUGAUUGAAGAUGAAAAGUGGCCAUUAUUAGCCUUUAGGGUGGAGAGUCCCUGUGCACUGUGCGGGAUUUGGUCUGACGUAUCCUGCUAUUUGUUCUUUGGUCUCCUGCUGCUUUUGUUCUCUUCUUCCUCUUUUACUUUCUUGUAGUUCCUUGGAGCCGUGUCGGUGUUUGCUUUCAUGUUGUUCCCGGGAGCCGUGUCGGUGUUUGCUGCAGCGGAGCUGGAGAUCAAGAAAUCCAUGUUUUAGCUCGGGUUGCUUAUACCUCGAAACAACUGUGGAUCCCCGAAAAGAAUGAACCAGACUUAGCUUUUACGCCCAUGCUAGUGACGCUUCAUCAGAAUAUAAUAACUCAGCCAUGGACGCUACCAGCACACCAGACACAGAAAAGCCCACGCUGCCUUUUGCCGUGGCGCAACACCGCCUCUCUCUCUCUCUCUCCCCCUCGUCCCCUGGGAACAAAGUGAAAGCGUGCUGCUCUGCCAGUCUACACCUUCAGUCUCAAUCACUGUUCUGGCACUCAUUGGCCGGCGGUUGAUCUCACAAGCAAACAAAAAGAUCACCAGAAGUGUUGAUCAAAGGCGUGGUUUGGAAGCUGUCUGUGUGUAAUCCUGCAAAGAGACAACAGAUUAGGGGAUGCAAUAGGCAGCACUGUUAAACAACAGUUCUUCUUAAUUUAAUUCUUCUGGGAUUAAAAAUAAGAGAAAAGAUUAAACAUUGCAUUGAAUAGAGAUUUUUCAUGAGAAGGUACAUGAACUUCCGAGUAGGUGCAUGACGUUUAUAGAUAGGAUUCAUGAUCUCGAGAGUCCGAAGAAAACUUGUCUUUGUAAAAGCACUUUGUUUGUAGAAAGGUUAGGUGAAUCAAUGUGGAGCCAAUAGCGAGUUGACAGAGUCAGAUGAAUCAGUGAAAGGUCAAGUUUAAGUAUUAGAUUUAUUAUAUUAUUAUUGUUACAUAAAAUAAUUAGUCACUCUAUCAAAUAUAUAUAUCAUAUAAUUUUUAAAUAAUUUUCUUGAAGAAGUAUUUAUAGAAUUGUUUUUGGAAUAUAUUAAAAAUGAGAAUGAAGAAAUUUUUUAUAUGGCCUAAAUCAAAUACCUAAAUAGUGGAAUUUUAAAAUAGAUAUUUAUUUUAAGUAAAAUUAUUGUAUUUAAUGCUCUUAUGAGAGUAUAAAGAAAAGAAGAUAUAUUACUUAUUUCUGUGUAGGUAGAUUUCCAGUAAAUCGUGUGAUAAUCGACAUUAGACUCGUGUCUUAUUUUCUUCGUAUUCAAAUAAAAUAUUAAAGAUAUCUUUCUUCUAAAAAAGUACAUAUAAAUGAAAUUAUAAAAAUUAAGAUGGGAGUUUGUAGUACCAUUAAAACACCCAUAGGAUGUGGUAUGUAUGACAAGAUUAUGUGAUAAGGCAAUUGAUCGUAUAUACUUCAAUAAAAAAAAUUAGAUAUUUGACAUAUAAGUUGAUUUAAGAAAGAACUUUUAAGUCAUUAAUACCGUAACUCGUGAAUUUCUAUAUUCGUAUUCCAAUAGUAUGUUGUUAGCUAUUGAAACAGUGAAGUAUAGAAAUUUAGAAAAUCCAAAAAUUCAAUUGGCUUUACCUAUUUCUUGAUAGAUAGAUAGUAUCUUCAACCUGUAUUUGAAAAAAAUAAUAUAUUGCGACAUACAUGUAAGGUGGAAUAUAUGACAAUAUCUUUAUAUCCAUAUUAUGUUAUAUGGUUUCGAAAGCUCAAUCAAGAAAUUAUAUAAUAAAAUAAUAAAAGUUUAUAAUGAUAAUAAAAAAUAAAAAUAUUAGCUAAAAAAUUAAUUUGUUAUCAUAAAAACAAAUACAUUGACGUUUAUUUUCAUUUUUUAUAGGUAAAACAUGACAAUGAUAUAUAGGUAAUCACUAUAUGAUAAUAUGUGGUCGAUAUAUUGAUCGUCAAAUAGCGUUGGUUGCUCGUGCGCAACUCAUGAUGAUCAAAUUAGAAUACUCAUAAUCACUAUGUGGUGAUAAGUGAUCGACUAGUUAAUCAUCUGAACCUUAUUGAUAUAGUCAAUUAGUGUGAGCAUUGGGUGUGGCGAUCGUUAUGCCAUAACUCAGCUCGAAACACCACACGUCUCUCUCCAACCUUGUAAAAUUCCCCUAAGGAUACUUUAAAACACAAUUCAUUUUUAGCAUUAAUCGAUUAGUUCAACCAAUUUGAACCCCUAAAUUAAUAUGAUCGUUAAAUUGGUAUUUGUCGAAAACACUCCCGACUUAGUUUUCACAUAUUCGACAUUGUACGAAUCAUGAUUUCAACUGAGAUUAACUUGAAAUAUAUAUUAAUUAGAUCUGAAUCAUCAUUCUAAUUUAGACAAUCAGAACCUUUACUAAUAGUUUUAUUAAGGAUCAUAUCAAAUAUCAAAUUAUAGAUAUAUUCAAUAAGUCCCUCAAGUCAAAAUUAUUUUUAAAUUAAAUAAUUUGCUUGGGGUGUAGGAUGAGAAUAAAUUAAAUUUAAUAGAUGUUAAGUAAUAACAUUAAUUUAAUUCCUCUUAAUUCAAAGUAUGUUUGAUAAUACGAAAAGGUGUAUAAAAAUCAAACAACCGUAUUAAGUAGGCAUUUUCAGAAAGAGUUACAUGAACCUUUGGACAGAUGCAUGACGUUCAAUGUGACAUUUCAUUAGAUGCUCUCGAUCCGUAUUAAUAUAAAUAGAUAGGGAUUAAUGGCAUUGAGAGUCCGAGAAAAAUUUGUCUUGAGAGAGAAAAUACAUAAGAGAUUCGUUUGUCUCCACCAAAGUUUCCCGCUCUCUUCCUCUCACUCUCUUUUCUCUCUCAACAGUUUUGUUUCAUGGAGCGCAGCGUCGACGAAAUGAGCAAUGAGUUCGACGAGGUGUUGGCGGCAGCCGCGGACGUGAUACAGGCGAGGGAAGCAUCGUUCGGCCUGCGGACGGCGGCGACGGAUGCGGCGCUCGAGAAGUUUAGGCAGCGGUGGGGACUCUUCAAGUUGUCAUGCGACCGGGCGGAGGACGUGGUCGACUCGGCGAGGAGGAGUAUCAUGGCAGAGCGUCUGAUGGACGCGGCCUCCGGGAUGGCACCGGGGCAACCGGAAACAGCGGGGUUGCAGCAUCUCAACGUGCCCCGCUUUGAGCGGGCGCUCCACAAGGUCAACUCCGUCGCCGCGGACCUCGGACGUGGAUCGGCUGCCAUGGCCGCCGCCUCCUCAUCCGGCCCCUCCGCUGCGACACCUUCCGUAGACAAGGCGGAUUGAGGUAUAUCUGCUCUGCUUGAGAUGACGCUGUGACGAGUUCGGAACGCUGCCUAUGAGCUGUGCAAUUACCUUAUGUACAGUGAAAACAAGUAAUUCGAUACCCAGUGCUACCUUCUCCUUUCUAUUCACAUUUCUAGCGACAUAUAUCAUCACCUACAGAUGAGCUGAUUCAAUUUCAUAGUGUAAUGCAACAUGAUUUAGUUUGAGCAGGUGAUCUUACGAUUCAAACAGACGAGAGUAACCAACCAAGUCUCUAUCCUUUGAUCCCUGUUCACUCGACAUGAAACUCGAUGCUUUUACAUAAUCAUUACUUCUCCGUCUCACAGGUUCGUCGAUAAGAGAAGCGACGGUACAUGACAAAGCAUCACUCUCGGUGGUUGCUCAAUCCAUUUUUAAGCUUCAAUUUCAUUUCUCCCUUCCCAUCAGAUUCCGCCGAAGAAGACAAGAUGAUGUAUAUAUAUAUUAGACACGUGAUGGUGGAAGCGAAGCUGAAAGCAAUUUAUUAGACACGUGUUGUUGAUCAUAUAGGUGACCAAAAUUUAUUUUUGUGCCAUUCAUAAAACGUUAUAAUUUAAGAAUUUUAUCGCAAUGGCCCAAUUCAAUAUAUGUUCUAUUUUUUAAUUUGAAUUAAUUGGAAUUCUAGAACGGCUCAAAAUAAUAUAAUUUUAAAAUAUCAUAUCUAUUAAUACUAUUAAAAAUACAGAAAUUUUAAAAAAUUAAAAGAUUGGCUUCAAACAAGUGAUACAAAAUUAUAAGAUAACAAAAUAAAAUAACUAUAUAUUAAAGUGAUUUAAAAUAAUAUCUAACGAUCAUGACAAAACAUUUGCGUUCGAUCGGAGUCCGAGACCUUUGCAGCCUUGGUACCGAUGUAACGCUGGCGAAGCUGUUGACCAGCGGGAUGCGGUGGUGGUUGUAGUUGCCCUUGAACUCGACGUAGGUACCAGUUCUCUUCCCCUCGCAUUGCGCAGCUCCAGCCGCCCAUUCUCUUCCUUCCACACCACCCACUUCUUCCUCUCCCCCGCCCCAAGUCGCCCCUCAAAAUAUCUCCUCCUCCUCUCGUCCUACUAUUCCCUCGCUCGCUCGCUCCUUGCUCGCGAUGGCGAUUCCCUCGUUGACUGAUCGGAAUCCCACGGGCCUUGUGGCUUGAAUCCCGUCAAGUUUCCCAGUUCGAAUGGUCGAUGGUCGAGUCCUGGCUGCGGUUCUUGCCUGGAAUCGAUGUUCCAUGUCGACCCCGAUGUGAAUCGCGCUGCCCGUCAUUGGAUCGGGUUCAGCGCGGCGUGCCCUCUUUCUUGGCAUGUCGGUGCCGCAGGAUUCCUUCGGAGUAGCGACUCAGAUACGAGAUGCUGGCGGAGGUAGAAAUCGGCAUCGGCUUGGUCGUAGAAUUGGUAAAAGAUUGCGUUUUGGGAUUCUCUCGAAUGAGCUUCGAUUUAGGUGCGCGGCAUCUACGCCACCGGGGAAGAGUGGUAACCCCAACUUGCCCGUUGAUUUGGUUAGCUCUGCUAGGGGAACUGUCAUCAAACAGAUUUCGGGCAAGCUGGACAACAAGGAUCCGAAACACUUGGCGUCCAGCUUUACGAACUACAGGGACGAUCCUUUGGUGGAUAAGCAAAGGACGCAGCUUGGCGUGAUUCGUUCCAUCCCUUCUCCGCCCAUAAAUAGGAAUAUCGCAGGCUUCUUCGUGCUCUUUUUCCUCGUUGGAGUGGCUUUCGACAAGGUUUGGAAUUUAAGGAAGAGGGAGAAGUCGGCCCGGGACGUCGACAAUGGCACGUGGCCACAGGCACCAACGAGCCUCUCUAUAUUUCUUGAGAAGGACCUUCGGAGGAAAGAGUCGGUCGAAUGGGUAAACAUGGUCUUGGGGAAGCUUUGGAAGGUCUAUAGGUCCAGAAUCGAGGAUUGGGUUAUUGGGUUGCUCCAGCCGGUAAUAGAUAACCUCAAAAAGCCUGAUUAUGUGCAGAGAGUUGAGAUUAAGCAGUUUUCCAUUGGGGAUGAGCCACUAUCUGUCAGGAGCGUUGAAAGGAGAACUUCUCGUGGUGUUAAUGACUUGCAGUAAGUUCUUCCUAUCUCAAUUCGAAGUAAAGCUUGUUGCUCGUUAUGGGCUUGUGGUUUUAACUUAUUGUAUGAUUGGUUUUUUGUUGCCUUGUAUCUAUGGUGAGAUUGCUUCUUUAUGGUAUCCACUUUUAGGGGUAAAACUGCAUAUAUUCAUUCUUCUCAGAUUCCACAUUUGCAGCCUUAAAAAAGUUUGAUGUUCUGUAACGUUUUUUUUAGCAUCAGUAAACCUUCUAAAUGGAACUUUAUGCUUACUAGCCUUACACUAAUCUGAUUGAUAAGCUAAAUGUUCAGUGUUAAUUUUUUUUUUCUAUUACAUCCUGUAAACGCCUCAUCUUUUGCUUUGGAAAUCACUAAGGAACUGAUGUCUGAAAGAGAUCGAUUGGAUUUAAAAUUUUUGGUUUCUAGCUAGAUUUAUCAGCGACUGAUUUUACAUGGUGAUGGCCACUUUGGUUGGACAUGUUGGGUUACCAUCUUUAUAUUUUAGUUUUAUGAUUUUGAAGUUGCAUGUUCUGAGUCAAAACAAAAAACAAAAAAACAAGGAUUUAAGCUUCAAAGCAACAUAAGAAAGUAACAUAUGGCAUAUAUCAUGGAGUUUCUCUACUCUCUAACCUGUCUUGCCUUUUUUAUGCUUUUCUAGAGUGAGUUAGUCAGGAUCAUAUGUUCUCAUUCAUUGGCUCAUGCUUCUUUUGCCAUGUUCUAAAUUCUGAUAUAUGAACUAGAUUAUGAAACAUAAACUUUUGGAAGGUUCAACUUCCAAUUUGGUUCAUUCCAUAGUCAUAUCAGCAUAGCACAUCAUAGAAUACCAUAUUUCAUUUCAUACAUAUGGAACAAAAUAUUAGCAUCUUUUGAUACAUUUUUUUUAACAUCAGGUAUCAGAUUGGCAUUCGUUACACUGGUGGUGCUCAGAUGUUGCUGUCCCUAUCAUUAAAUUUUGGCAUUAUUCCCAUUGUUGUACCUGUUGGGAUCCGUGAUUUUGAUAUAGAUGGAGAGCUUUGGGUAAAGUUACGGUUAAUACCCACUGGACCAUGGAUAGGGGCUGUGUCAUGGGCUUUUGUGUCUCUUCCAAAAAUUAAGUUUGAGCUCUCACCAUUCAGUCUGUUCAAUCUAAUGGGUAGGUUCUUUAUUCAUAUAUCAUAAACCCUAGGUCUCAACUCUCAAUUUGUGAUCUUCUAUUUUGUUGUGUGUCUUUUUUAUAAAGGAUACACCUCAAUAGUCCAAUUCACAUCAUAAAAGUGUGAAAUGUAAUAUGCAAAGUUUUGGUGGCGUGUUCUUAUCUCAAUGAGCAUUUUAGGCAUCAAGUUGCUUACACCACCUAGUUUUGUACACAUCAGCUAUUUGUCUAUAUAACAACUUAUUUGACUUCUACUGACAUUUACUUAAAUGUCUUGUGCAUGUGACGAUUAAUCUGGAGUCAGCAAUUCCUGUUCUCUCAAUGUAAGGAUAUCCUUCAUUUGUAACUUUUUAAAAUUUUCAAUUCUGUCCACUGUUUAUUUGCUGUUUCUUUCUUUUCUGAUUCUAAGUCUUCUUAUUGUACGUGUUGAUGUACUUGUCAACAUGAUUCGACAAUCCACAUCAUUGUCCUGUUUUGCUGAAACUUUGCCUGUGUAAAGUUGGCUAAUUGUUUUUUUUCACUUACAGUUUGAGUUGCAUUGCAUUCUCAUUUUAUGCAAACCAAUAUCGUCCACGAUCUACUGCUACGCCAUCUUGUUCUUUUCAGUAUUACUUAGCAAGAGAAUUUUCUUAGACAUCGACUUCACAUCAUUUUUCCAAAUAUAGUGGUCAGAAUUGAUGUCAAGCAGUCAAAAGUUUCAGAUUUAUAGUUCAUCUUAGACUGGAUGAUUUAUGGUAACUAAAUGUACUUGAUACAAGAUUCUAUUUUUCUUCAUAUUGUAUGUUUGUUUUAAUUUUUCUAACAAGCAAAAACUUGUUUAGAUAGUACUUUAUGAAGGUGUAUGACUAAUUUUGUAGCUUUGUGCAUGUUGUUUCUUUUAUAUGUAAAUGUGAUUGGUUUCCAAAUUUAGUAAAUCUUGUAAGAAUGCCUGUUUUUAACCUUUAGAUUAAGUGUCACCAAUACAUAUGCAUAUCAUGGUUUUAUGAAUUUUCCUGAAAUGGAGUCACCACUUCUUUUUAGGUUUCUUACAAGGCUUCUAACAGAAGAUUUGCCUCGACUCUUUGUGCUUCCAAAAAAGAUCGUUCUUGAUUUCCAGAAGGGGAAAGCACUUGGUCCUGUUUCACAUGAUUUUAAAGUUGAAGCAGUGCAGGAGAGAAGUAAAGAUUUUGUUGGAGAACUGUCAGUCACUCUUGUGGAUGCUCGAAAACUUGCUUAUCCCAAAAUUGGUAUCAAUUUUUGCCUUUACAGUUUCUUUAUAUAUGUAUCUUGGCAAUACCUAGGAUACCUUGGCCUUCUAUGAACAUCUCCAUUUGGCUGGAUACUAGAAUUGGAACUUGGUUAAGCUGCAUUGUCUUCUUUGAAGUUGACCUGUUGCUUGUUCCCAAUUCUUGUUGUUGCCCCAUAUUUAUUUGUUUACUUCAAAUAAAGUUUUUGCUGUGCCUUUUAUGCUUACAAUUACUUAUAUCAAUUUGUUUUAAGCCUGAAGAGAUGGUAUGCCUGGGCAGGGAAGACAGAUCCAUAUGUUGUUUUAACUCUUGGUGAUCAAGUAUUUCAGAGUAAGAAAAAUAGCCAGACAACAGUCACUGGACCUCCUGGAGAACCAAUUUGGAACCAAGUGAGAUCUUCUACUGUAGUUUUUGUUUUGCUUGUCACGUGGUCUCUAUCUACUUAUUCAGUAGUAUAUAUUCUGUAAACAGGAUUUUGAUCUGUUUGUUGUAAAUCCUGGAAAGCAGAAGCUGUACAUCCAAGUAAAAGACUCCUUUGGUUUCGCAGAUUUCACAGUUGGCACAGCAGAGGUAGAUUAAUAUUGCUGGUCUAUUUAACUUUCAUGAGUUCUUGUACCCUGACAUGCUAUUUGUACAAUGCACUAGAAAGAUUCUGCUAGUUCAUAAACCUGCUGCUAGAUCUUGAUAGGUGUGGAAGUUGACUUGUGAUUUGUCCUAUAAACUUGGGACCAUUCCCUUCUAAGUCAAAGGGCUAGUUUUAGAAGUUCUGAACGGGUUCUCUUCCUUCUGCUUUAGCAUGCUUAGUAUAUAAUAUGAGCGAGUUGGAUUGAACUUUUAGUUUGUAUGUUCUUGGUUACCUAAUCAGAUCAUGGAGAUUGAAAAUGUCAUGUAAUGAUCUCUUACAUUCUAUAAAUGCUAUAUUUAUUGCUAUAUAUGAUCAAGUAGAUUUUGUUGAUGUAUAAUUUUGUUCAAUAAUUCAUGUGUAGUUAUAAUUUGGUAUGCUAAAUGCCAAAACCAUGGUGAUUGAGCUUCAACAUAAACCUUGUAAAUUUAUGGCCUUGGUCAUUUGUGUGCAAUCUCGUUGUAUAUACAUACAUAUAUAUAAAUAUAUAUAUAUAUAUAUAUAUAUAUAUAUACACACACACACAUAUAUAUAUAUAUAUGUAUAUGUAUAUAACGUUUCCAAAAGAAGAAUGGUGAGACAUGUUGUAAUACCCUAUUUUAGUCCCAGAAGUUGAUAAAGAUUUGAAUUGAUUUAUAAGGGCUGUCAAUGGUUCGAAUUCAAUAAGUUAAUGAGUUAAUUAUUCCAUUGGAUGUUUUGAGAAGAAAGUCACCAUUGGACUAGGCAUCGCAUGCAUUAUUUAAUGGGAGAGAUUGUAACACCCAAUUUAGUCUCACGUCAUGACAUUUGUAGAAAAGGAUUAAUAUUGGGAUAGAAAUCUAUGUGAUUGUAUUGGUAUGCCAAGUGUAGAAAAGGAUUAAUAUUGAGAUAGAAAUCUAUGUGGUUGUAUUGGUAUGCCAAGUUCUUGUACAAACAUUUCUUUCCUGCACUUACAAUGUUUUGUUCACGAAGUCAGUAAAUGAUCUAGUAAUGCAGCAAAAUAUGGAGGUAUUCCCAGGAGUAUAAGAAAUCUUGUAUUUGGUGAUCCGAAGCCAGCAUAGCUUGAGGAUAAUAAAUGACAAAAGAGUAGCAUAUAAAAAGGGUGAUCCAGUGCAUGAGGCUCCUAGCAUUAUGGAGUCUGGUCAAUGUACUUAUCUCAUAGUUUCAAACAUUGGUUUGUUCGGAAGCACAGAAGUAGACAUCCUAUAGUUUUAUUUGUUAUUGUAAUUUAUUUGGAUUAUUCACCCCUGAAAGUGACUUCACUAUGAAGUUCUGCCACCAUGGGACAAAUCAGUAAGACUAGGUUUUGUUUGCUUCCCCUGAAAGUGACUUUUCUAUCGUUUUUAACUAGGUCGAGCUAGAGUCCCUACAAGAUACAGUGCCUGCAGACAGAGUAGUUGCUUUACGUGGUGGAUGGAGUCUAUUCAGAAAUAAAUCAUCUGGAGAAGUAUUACUUCGACUCACAUAUAAAGCUUAUGUUGAGGAUGAAGAAGAUGAUCUGUUGGAAGCAGAGUUUGUGGAUGAUCAUGCACCUGAUGAUAUCUCAGACUAUGACCAACCAAAUGGAACAUUUGAGCAAAGUGGUUAUCCUAGUGGAAAAGAAAGAGAAGCCUUUAUGGAUGUCCUGGCGGCUUUGAUUGUGAGUGAGGAAUUCCAAGGAAUAGUGACAUCUGAAACAGAAAAUUCAGAAGUUACUGGUGAAUCUAGAAAUGUGACAUCCCCAGUAUCAACAACAAUAGGUCUUACUGAUGAGACGUCUACUAUUGAUUCAAACAGAAGUUCCAGUAGUUCUGAUGGUAUGCAACUUCUUUCAUCUUUUUGUCUAGAUAAAUUCUAAUAUUUUUGUUCUUGUCAGUUUCCUGAAUUUGGGAUUUUGCAGAUUUAGAACUAGUAUGGCUUGCUGUGGUAACGGUUACAGUGGUUCUGAUUGCUCGUACCAUGGGUGAUUCAAGCUUGUUCAAUCCAUAGCAUUUGCAGGUAUAUGUGGAUGUCCUUAGUGUAUUUGAAAUAAGCAGCUCUUAGUAAUUUUACAUGAUAUGCUUGCAUAUUUGAUGUCUAAAUUAUCUGUUCAUUUUUUAUGGUUUAUAUAUGAAACAAACGUCUCUAUGAUCAAUCCAAAAGUUGUCUUUAACUCACACAAACUUACACUCUUUUGUGGCACAUAGAACUUUGUACUUGCUGAAAGAGUUUACCAGAAAUAUCUAGUUGGUUGUUGAACUUCUGGUGAUCCUUUCCUAGCUAGGGAAAAAAGAGAACCAAACCAAUUAUUAAAUCUGAUAAAAGGGUGAACCCGGUGCACAUAAGGCUCACGCCAAUGUAGAAUCUGGGUAAGGGUUAAUUGAUAAAAGUAUUUUACCAUGGGCUUAAUAUUUAACAAAGAAUAAGGAGAAUUUUCAGGUCCCAGGUUUCUCUGGUCAUAAUUAUGCGAAUGGAUAAUUAGAACCUGAAGCCUGGACAAAAGCUUAACAGAGAAAAUAAAUUUACCGGCCAUUGUAAAACAUGUUUCCCACAAAAUGAAAAUCCACAUAUUGGAGCUCAAAAAAGUCCCAAUUACAGCUUGUCCCUUGAUGUCUAGUAUGAUUUGCUAAGCAGUUAACAUGGUCAGAUUCAGAACCAGGGAGAUUUUACAGAAGCAUUCAGGCAUUCAGAGAUCCAAACAAUGUUUCCAAACUCCUAAUCCAAGACCAAGAACUUUUUUAGUGUAAGACAUGGGAUGAGAAUACUAUCCCAUAUUAGUGAGGCAUUCAUAUUGGAACUAAAUGAUUCCUGAUCUUCCAACAUCCAUUGUUUUGGAUGGUAGAGUGUCAUUCUCUUUUAGACAGCAGUUUAGGGUCUAAUCUCCAUCUUACACAAGCUGUUACCUGCCUUCAUGAUGGAUGACACCUGUGUCGGUUGUGGGGCCGAAUAGAAUUAAUGAAUCAUGUGCCUAUUUGUGGUCUAUGAUGCCUUGCUUCCCUUGUGACUUAUGCUACAGGAUGCAGUCUCCCUUCUGAAAAAAGAAGAGGGUAGUCGGUUUAGAGAUUCUAAGCCUAGCGAUACAGAAACCAGUCAGAUUGUUGUAUUUCAAAUUCUUCCACCGGUAAGGUACGUAUGUACUUGCAUCUUGUUUCUACCUUUUAUUUUGCAUCCUAUUUCCACCUAUUAUUUAAUAACAAGUUAAACAGUAAUGCUUGUCCAUUUCAAAUUGCACUGGAGUUGUCAGAUUGAUGAUGCCCAUCAUCUGCUUCUCUUUACAAUUUCUUUCCAUCCUCAUAGAUGAACAUGCAAUUUGCUUGAUAUUUUGCACCCUCACCCUCCUGUGUGAUGGUCCAAAUUUUGUUUAAACAUGCAUGAUCUGAUGACAAGCUCUGUUGUUAUCUGCAGGCUCCAUUCUGUACAUGCUCCAGGGCAGAGUGGAAUCAACUAAAUGAUUAUUGUUCAAAAUUCUUCUUCUCAUGUAAAAUUAGCUCACUACAGUAAAAAUGCUUUUGCAACCAUUUCUGGGGUUCAAUUCACAUCUCUAAUUCUCACAUCUUUCCUCCAUUGUCCACUUAACUUAGGAAUGUUCCGUUUAUGUCCGUCCAUUAGGGAUGGUAAUCUCAGUGGGCUGUAUCUACAGGAACAAUGCUCUGUCAAAGACCUCCAAACCGUAUGAAAUCUGAAGGAAAAAUGAAGACCACAAAGACUCUUUGAGGCGGAACUUGGUCUUGAGACAUGGCUUGGUUUCGUGAUGAACAUGCAAGUUGUUGUCCUAUAUGCUACUAAGCAGGGGGAAGUCGUUGACCCAAUGUACAGUUGCAGCCGUUGGUAUUGGUGGGUUAGAGAUGCUUCAGUGGGAUUUGUGUAAAAGCUACAAUACUUCCCUGCUUUUGUUUUUGUUAAUAUCAGUACGAAUCAUAUUGUUGGCUAUCAUCACUUAAACAAGUUGGCUAUUAUGUUGUUGUGAAUCUUCAUGCACUGGUGUAACGCCCUCAGUACUAUAGAUUUUCAUAUAAAAAAUAUAAGGUCAAAACUAGAACAAAAUACUUUUUAUAGUAUAAUUAUUGUAUAGAUUAAUUCAUAAUAAUCAACCCACAAGACAUUAAUAACGUGAUUCGAUCCAUCCAUAUGAUAUUCAUUAAAUUCAACAACUUCUUAAGAGUCAUAAUAUUUCUAUCCAAAUAAUAUAUAUAUACACAGUCAUCUCAAUGCAUAGUGAUCUUAAUAGAAUAAUUAUAUAAUUCAAUCAUUAAUAGAUUCUAUCAUGCUUUUACUAUGCAUUCUAAAAAAAUUUAUCAGCUUUUCAAACUCGAUUUGAUAUUCUUAAUCUAAGAAAUCUAUCUUUCAUUUGCUUUUGAACACUCCUAGAAAAAUACUUUCGAAAUAUAUAUAUAAAUAUCAACUAGUUAGUUCAUGCUUAUAAAAUUUACAAAACAUAGUUUCAUAUCCAUUUCAAAUCACAACUUAACUUGCUAAUAAUACCUUUUAGAUGUAAAAUAUAUUUAAAUACCUUUAUGCUGAAAUCAUAAACAUUAUAGUCCAAAGAUUAUCAUUAAUUUUUUAUUAAUAAAUAUAAAAUAUAGCUAAGGUGAACAUGUUUGAAUACAAGUCAGUGGUAUGUAUUAAUGGCUCGUUAUAUCAUCUCAAUGACAAGGUCCAGAAUCAUUCUUAAUUCCUAUGGUAUAGAUAAUAUAUAUAUCUUCUUAUGUCAAGAACAAAUUAGUUUCUAAACAAAUACCUAUCCCUUAUUGGUAAAGUCUUGAUCAUAACCAACGAAGCAAGUGUCAUGUCACCUAAAAUAUGUUAGAAUCUCGGAUUUUGUUGGUGAAAUCAAUUGAUAGGUUAAUUGAUUUAAUCAAUAUUAUUGAAGUUAAGUGUACAGGAUUAACUAUGAUAGCCUGAAAACAUAAAGCAAGGAUACCAGAGUCAAGUUCGAUGGACGUUUGAGAGUCCGAAGAUGCUGCCGGAACCAACCAAGAAGAAAUCGGAGACUUGUCGAAACUUUCGGAAGUCUGCCGAAGAGAUCGUCAGAGGUUCGCGGAGAUCACCGAGAAGGCUCGGCUACUCGUUGAAUUCGUCACAAGAUCGGGAGCCUCCUGGGAGUCCGCCGGAAGAAAUCCGAGGGCGUAUUGGAAGUCCGCCUGAAGAUCGCCGGAAAGCUCGUCGGAACAAGACUCGACAUUUGCCGGUUAAAAACUUGCUUAGGAUUAUGCUUUUAGUUACGUAGUAUGUAAUUAGGGUUAGGAUUAAAGGAUAAUCCUAUAUCUUAGUUAGGGGCCAAUUGGGCCCGAAUGUGAUCUGGUUUGGGCCGAACUUGAAGCCCAACCAGUGAUCCGUAAGGACGGGCGGUAGAACCGUCGGAUUGGGCGGUGGCACCGCCCAGCACUCGAGAUCAAGCGGUGGCACAGUCACCGCCUUCGGGCUCUGGGCGGUGCCACCACCCAGCACCCGAGAUCAGGCGGUGGCACAGUCACCGCCUUCAGGCUCUGGGCGGUGCCACCGCCUAGCACCCGAGAUUAGGCGGUGGCACAGCCACCGACAGGCAGUGACACCGCCAGUACACUGUCAGUGUCAGACACUGAUAGGCGGUGGCACCGCCAGCCUUGGAAACCCAAGAUAAUUCAAAAUUUGGAGCCCAAAUUUAAAUCCUUUUGUGACCUAUAAAUACCCCUCAAUUCUCAGCAGAGAAAACAACUUUUGCAAAACAAUAGAUUGAGAUAAGAGCCUUAGCAAAGUUUUAGCAAGUCAUGUUUUCAAAUUGCUUGAGUGUUCACCUCCUUUCUUCUUGUUGAAAAAAUUAUAAGAGUGUGAACCACUUGUAAAGGUUGUAAGAGGGGUAUUAGUCCUUUCCCUUCAAAGUAAUUUGCUAGUGGAAGUUUUGAGCCUCAUUGAAGAAGGCUUCGUAAGUGGAUGUAGGUCAUUUGACCGAACCACUUUAAAUUGACGUGUUCAUUGAAUCUGUAAGUACUUACCUUUUUACAAUCGUUAUCUACAUAGCAGUGAGUUUCCGGUUCUUACUUUACUCAAGUUACUAUCAAAGCUAAAUCUCUCUGUAUUUUACGGAAUCAUUUUCGAACUUACAAGUUUUAAUCCACUGCACUAAUUCACCCUCCCCUCUUAGUGUCAUUCCGAUCCUAACAAAAUAAUAUAUCAAUUACUUUUUACAAAACUGAAGGUAUAAAGAAAUCCUUUUUGCAUGCCUUUUCAAAACAAAUAUAAUCAUAUAUUAUUUUUUCUAAUUCUUUCAAAUAUAAUAAAUAUUAAACAAAAAUGUUUAUAUAAAUUUUGAUAGGAUAACUUAAAAAUACUUAUAAAACAAUAACAAUAGUUCAAAUCAUAUGUUUUUUCAAACUAUCAAUAUUUACAUUUUUAUAAUAUUUUUUAAUAAUAAAUUAAUUUCUAAAUUAUGUAAAUCAUAUGUAUUUACAAAUAUCAAACGCAUUAUUAGUAUUUCUGAAAAUAGAUUAGACGGAGUCAUACUUACCCUGAUUGUAUAUCUUUGAUAUAACAUAUUUUGUUCUUUUUUCUUUAUUCUUUCAAUAUCAUCAUUUUUCUCUUUUUUUUUCUUUUAUAUACUAUAUCUAAAAUCAUUACGAUACAUCAAUUAAUAAUCCAAAACAUAAAUCUAAUUAAUGUGAAUAUAAAAAAUUUUAAAUCAUACAUAAUAUAAUUUUUGAACUUAUCAAAAUCAAUUUGAUAUCAAAACCAAACAACCUACAUAAUUUUUCUUUUAUUUUCUUCGUUUUCUCUUUCUUUCUUUCUUUUUUUCAUUCAUGAAGCCCUCUCCUCUCCUCUCCUCUCGUUUCUUUUCUUUUUUCUCUUUCCUUUAUUCCUUUCUCUCCUUCCUGGAGAUCACUCUCUCUCUCCUCUCCCUUUUCCGUCUUUUUCUCUCCUUCUCUUCCUUUUCCUCCUCCCAUCUUCUUUUACCUCUCUCUCUCUCUCUCUCUCUCUCUCUCUCUCUCUCUUUCUUAUUUUCAUUAUCGAAGUCAAAAUGAUUUGAUACAGCAACAAUAAUGAUCUGAAAUGUAAACAGUUACAAGUUUUACAUUCAUGAAUAGCUCCGGAAUAAAUAAAAAAGUUGAUUAUAAUUACUAAUUCAUACAAAAAAUAUUUAUGGGAGGAUUAGGUCACAUCAACAUUAGUUGAAACCAGCAUUUCCAAAAAUAUUUUGAGAACGUUGCGGCAAGGAAUAUUUCGCUUGUAAUAUAGAAUACUUUUCAUGGUUAAUUCACUAUAAAAAUGAUAUAUUUUGGGCAUGAUAAAUAAUUAUUAUUCAUUAAAAUUACUUUACUCUGAUUGGUUAUUGACUUCAGCAUGCAUCCGAGGGAUCACAUCGCAUAACUCAUUCAAUCUUGAUCUUUAUGCAAGUAAGUUGAUCGUGGAGCACUCACCUGAGUCCACAUCUGACUCACUCUCGAGCGAGCAUUCGAGUCACCCCAUCAAUCAUGCUAGACUUUUUAUGUAUACAAAUUGAAAUCAAAUAGAGCUGAUCCAAGUAUCAUUGAUAUUGUCCAUAUUACUAAUAUAGCUCGAAGCAUAGUUUACUAUUAUAUGUGAUUUAUUUUUUAAAUAUAUCUAAUUAUGUAUUAUUUUAUUUUUUUAUAUGCUUUUAUCAUAUAAGUUAUAUAUAUUUUUGUAUCUGUGGUUUGUCUAUGGCAUAUUAUAAAGAUUAUGUUAUAAGAUUUUAUUUUUGAUUUUUUUUUCGAAUAUAUAGAUGUACAUUUCAGUCAAAUGUUGACUCCAAAUAAGCUCACAUUGUUGCACAUAAAACUCAUGUCAUGCUUAUUUUGCCGGCGGUUCAGACGUGCGUCCAAUCCAAACCAGUCCUCAAUGAAACUUGGCAGCCCAAUCAUUGUUCGGCACGCGAUGCCUGGAUGACACGUGUCUCAUCGUCCACGUGUCUCAAAGCGGCCCCUCGUGCUUGCGCACACCCGCUUAUCACAGCCGUCGGAUCUGCGAGUAACCAAUCUCGACCGCCCGAUUUGUCAGCUCAGCCGGGUCCUGCGCCCAUCUGUUUUCCUUUCCUAUAAUUACUACCACCUUCUCCUUCUCUUCCACUCCGAGAUGGUUUGUAGAGUCUAUCAGGAGAGAAGUAUUUCGCAGAAGAAAGAUAGAAGAGAGAGAGAGAGAGAGAGAGAGAGAGAGAAGAANNNNNNNNNNNNNNNNNNNNAGAGAGAGAGAGAGAGAGAGAGAGAGAGAGAAUAAAAGAGAAAUCGAAAAAAAAAUUAUUAGUUGAAGGCUUACCAUAACAGAGAGAGAAAGAAAAAAUAUAUGGUGAGCCUUCAACUAAUAUAUAUUUUUUCGAUUUCUCUUUUAAUCUCACUAAUAAUUUUUUUUCGAUUUCACUUUAAAUUUUUAUGGUAAGUCUUCAACUAAAAAAAAUUUAUCUCACUCUCGUAUUUGACAUCCGCGUUUCAUCUUUCGAUUAUAAUAUAUGGUGUGAUGGAGGAGCAAUCUAUUUUUAUAGACCUAAACCACAAAAUUAUAACUAAGCUCUUAUUUCAACUCAAAAUUUUAAUUUAAUUUUAAUUAAAUUUAAAUUAUAAUAUUUAACAUUUUUUAUUUAAUUUUUUUAAAACUAAAGGUAAUCUUCACAUGGAUAGUUUUCAAAGAUUUUAUAAAAAAUACUGUAACUUAAUCUUCACUUUUAUAAUAUUUCAUUUCGAUCAUUUUGUUCUUCACUUGAUGUCUUACUUACUCAUGGCUCUCAGACAAAGUUGAUAAUUAAAAUAUUCAUAAAAAUUAAGAUUUGAAAAGAAAAAAGAUUUAAAAAACUCUAUUACUCGGAAGUCUUAUAGACUUUAACAGCACCUCACCCUCUCUCUUAGCUUGGUGUGUGAUGAAUAGGGCACAAUCUUCUAUUUAUAGACCUAAACCACAGUCAUAACCCUAUUGAAAUAAACACUCAUCCUUCGAUUCUAACUUCUAACUUAAUUCCAAUCAAAUGUAAAUUAUAAUCUCUUUAGGCAUUAAUUUUAUGUUUUAUUUUCAUUUGUCUUUCAAAUCGUCUGUCUCUCUUCUUUCACUGAUGGGGUUAUGAUAGGUUGUUCCGUUUCUUAUUUAAUUUUAUAUUUUAAUCUAUGAUAUAAUCGAUUAUUUGACUCGAUAAUAUUUUGAUCUUUCAAUUUAUGGACUUUAUAAUUAGGAUUGAGAUGGAUUGUGUUGCUUAAUUAGACUAAUGUUGACAAGAGGGUUUAUUGUAGGAUAUCAUGUCGACAAAGGUUGAUCAAUUCUUUUUAUUUUUUGAGUUUUGAAUAAUAUUUUAUUAAGUUUAUCUAAUUCAAUAAGAAUCGGAUAAAGAUUUAUUUGAGAUUUAUUUAUUUAUUAGGAGUCCAAGUCUUAAUGGACUCAAGGGUGGAACUCUAUAAAUAUGGAUCUCGAUCCUAUCAAAGUGAUAUCUUUUUUCUUUCUUCUAUUCUAUGAUAAAAUCCUAGAAUCUUAUCAUGUCGCUAAUAGACGAUGCGGCCUUACGAUUUAUCAUGCCUUAUUGAUCCCUACAGUUUUGUUUGAAAAUGAUAUCGUAGCUAUAGCCCAUUGCGAAUCACUCAGUAAUCCUUUCUCUUUACGCUUAUUUAAUAAUAUAUGAUUUGGGAAGGAUGGAUGGAUGGAUGGUGCAUCGAGUUUCGUGCUUAUGAUUGAUCCAGUUAAUUAAGGUCGUCUCAUUCAUUCUCGUCUUUUAUGUUUUCAUUGUUAUCUCGAGAACAAGUUCUAUGACAAAGCUUAUAAUUAAAAGAGAUGUGAAGUUCUAACAUUAUACCAUGAAGCUCUUGGAAAUCGUACAUCUUUUUUGUUGAAUUCCAUUCGGAUGGUAUGAUCGACAGAAGGGAAAUUGCCGGAAAAGUUACUCGAGAACAUGCCGCGGAUUAGGGCUCAAAAGCCGUCCCAAUUUCGUGCUUACUUCCUGCCAUGUUCUUGACAGGAAGAUGGGUUAAAUGAUUUAUAUCGUCCUUCCGCCUUCUUCGGGUCAGCCAAAGCUUACACAGCCAGCCGGCCUGCCGGAGAAGGUGGAGAGGACUACUUGGUAAGCAAUCCCCAAGACGCGAUCCGCGCCGUCCAUCACGGGAUCGAUGGCCCAGAUUUACGUUAAACAGCCGCGAUUUCGUCGCCGCAUACGUCUAUUUAAACCGGGGAAUUCCCGAACAUCCAUGCGAACUUCGUCUUCCAUUAGUUCCAUGCGUACAUCGGAGGAAACGUUGCGGGAUUCUGGACGUGCUUUCCACAGGCUUUCUUGAACCGUGAACUCGUGCAGGCUUCACUGGUCUCCCUCCUCUUCUCAGUCUUCGGUGCAAGCCCGAGGAAGAAGGUUGUUGAUGGUUCAAGAAAGUCUUUGGAAAACACGACAGAUCUUACAGACGAUCGUUUCGGUGGCUUUUUCGAGCGGUCUAUAUUCGUUGGAAGAUCAAGUCUGCAUGCAACAAUCUCUUCAGGCUCUCGUGAUCCUGCGAAGUAGAACUGCUCUUUUCCGCACCUUCAAAUUGGAUGAAAAGCUGUGGAAGAAACGAGUGGGAGUUGUUGAUGGAUCGAUGUGCCGUGGUUGAUAAAGUCAGCAUGGCCUAGUCCACUGGGUAAUGUCAGGAGUUUUUGGUCGGUUGAGUCGGGUUUCGAGACUGAUCGAACACCACUUUGAGUGUUGGCAGUGGGGAUUUGGUCAGUGCCUUCUAGCCUGCGAUGAUAGCUUUCCUGUAAAAAAGAUCGUCGUCGGAUGUUUCCCGAUUUUGAUCCCUCCGACGAUCAAGUCAGUGGUGAGUUGGAGUUUUUUUACUCUCCCUGGCCGGGUCCUUUUAUGUACGCAGGCGUAGCAGUCGAUCCUCAGGAGGUGAGGUGGCACCUUCGUGCGGUUGUCGCUCCGGGACGCACGGAACUCUUUCCGGGACGGGACGUGUCGAUCCACGCCUUGAUACGGUCCCUGGCUUGAUGCGUAGGGGUGCCCCUCUUGCUUACUUGGUUACAAUGCUAUGUGGCAUUGCUCGUGAUGCUGGACCAAAAAUAUACCUUAUCAAGAGUAUCAAACAUGAAAGAUCUUGGCGGCUUUGUUGGGUAGUUUAUGCAUUGUAGGAGUUCUUAUUGGAAAAAGGGGUUACAUAGCAAGAUUCUGGACAUGCUUUCUUGAAUUGUUGACAUUUCAAUCUCUUUCUUGCUCUGGUCAAGAACCAUAAAACAUCUAUUUGUCCUACCUUUUCAUUUCAUCAGAUUCAAGUGAUGCCUGAACUGUUGAUUAGGCUUCAUGGAAGCAAUCAGUAGAGCUUAAGAAGCAGCCUCAAUGUAACUCCAAAUAAGAUGGUAGAAAAUGUUAUUUAGCUACAUGGAGAUGACUCCAGCACUGUAUAUUGUAGUAUAUAUAUGAGAAGCAUGUUCUAUACAAUAACAGAGCACAACUAAAAUUUGGAGGAUUCUUAUCCUUUGCCUCCUAUAGAUCACCAUCUUCUGUUUAAUCUCGUCUGCAAUUGUUCUUUAUUGUCAGAUACUCUGCUAUUUACUGGAUCAAAUCUGCUACGGAGACAGGGAUUCGAUGAAUGAAUCCACCUUCAGGUUGAUGCUCCUCGACAAAAACUUCAUGCAUAUGGGUGGCUUCACUUUAGCAAGAGCAAGAAAAGACUGCGGAAGAGACCAUAUUCCGUCACCGCAGAUCAAACCCGAAGCCACGGCUGGCGCGAAUGCGUCUGCCUUGGCCUUGUUGAUCCUUUCCCAGACGAACAAGAUCAAGCUGCCCACGCACAUAUCUAUGGCGAAGUAAGAUCCCAAGUAGAACGGUAUCGCCAUGGCCAUGGGGAGCGGUAUCCACCUGCCCACCUUCUUCCCGGUCACGUCCCUCAGCAGGUUGAUGAGAAUAGCAGCAGCAAAGAAGACAUAACAGAGGGUGAGGCAGUUCUUCGGCAACGAUGAGAAGCCUUCCACCCCAAGUAUGGCCAUGUUACGAUAAACAAGGGCAUUAGGUGCUGGGUACUCCGAUCCGGGGAUGCCGAUGUCGUCGAACGCCUUCAGGAACAACCAGAAGACGGAUGGGGCGAUGACGCAGCCCAUGGCAGUGCCGAUUACUUGGCUGAUGAACAUGGACCUCGGUGAGGCCAGAGUCAGAUACCCUGUCUUAAAGUCCUGCAUCAGGUCCGAGGCCGUGGAGACGAUGUUCAUCAUGACGCCACAAGCAGCGAGGCCGGCAAGAACGCCGCCGUGGGCGGCGCCAGCCCACCCGCCGAUGGCGAAGAUUGCAAGCUUCCCAUAGGUCGACGCAAGGGACCAGUCGGUGAGGCCAGCGCCGUAGGCGUUGCAGAACGCCAGCGCCGGUGCGAACACGUAGACCACCAACACAUAGUACCACCGCAGCUGGGGAAAGAUGCGGGGCAGCGUUGCGGUCGAGACAGCAGCGAGGAGGAGAUAGCCUCCGUAGGCGAUUGGUUUUGGGAUUUGGUCUUGAAGGAAGAGCUCGGUGCGGCGCUUGUCGUCGAAGGAGACGGCCGAUGUGUCAAUGGCGAAGGUGUGCGUUCUUGCAGAUCUUCUGCUUCUGAUCUGUGACGCGAAGGCGGCUGUGCUCUUGCCCAUGACCUUGACGAAGUUGUAGAGGCCAUCUCCAAGGAUCAAGGCGAUUGCUAUGAACACCUGCAACAUGCUUAUGCUUACUCAAAAAGAUCAAAGUCGAUCAAUGAGCGGGGAAGAUGCUUAUUACCCUGUAACCUUGGAGCCCAUCAAGACUGCCCAACGCGUCUGCCGGGUACCAAUCGCCUUUCUUGUUGCCUAUCAGAGGCCACAUGAUUCCCCAUGAGAGAAUGCCUCCCAAGAGCACAGAUAUGUUCACGAUGUAUGGGCAAAUCAUCCCGACCCCAACGUAAGUAGCCGAAAAAUCAAAGUAGAACCUGCAAUCCUUUACGUAUCAGAUAAAUGUCAUACAAGUUUUGAAGGUUUUGAGAUGCAUACAUGUUGUCGUAAGCCUUGAGGCCUAACGAAGGGAAGUUGAUGAAGCCACAGUCCUUUCCACCUGUGUAAAACCACUGGAAGAAACCCCAAAGGAAACUGCAUACCGAGAGCUUGCCCAGCGUUCUCACCUGCUUCCUGCAAGAAACAUUAACGAGUUCCCUGACCGAGUCAGUCGCCGGAGAAAACAAGGGCAACCGUUCAUGGUUGUUUCGAGUUACUUCGCUAGGUUGGCUCCCUGAGGGGUGUGGAAGCUGUUGAUUAGGUUCGCCGUCGCGGUGCCACUCGGAUAGGUCAGCUUGUAGUCGAUGAUCAUUAUCUGAACACAUCAAUUUAGCAUGCAAUUUUACUGUGGAGAUCAGAUGAGACUGCAUCGAAGCAGACAACUGACCUUUCUCAAGGGCACGAGGGAGAACAAUCCCAGGAAACUAACAACAAAGAGGAAGCCGAUCAUCCAUCCUAGUCUUGGAUUCUUUAUGUUCUGUGAAUCGUUGGCUACUGUGGAUUGCUUGGCGAUGGUUUCACUCAUGGCAAAGAGGUAACUUCCGAAGCCCCCUGCAUCGCGUAGAAUAAGCAGCAAGGAAGAUACGAGGGGGAGGUGAUGGUGGCGGUGUUACCGCUGUAGGCGAUGCCGGAGGCGGCGACGACGCAUGUCUGGAUGACGGUGUUCUCCUGGCGGGUGAAGGGGCGGCGGAGGAGGCCAGCCCUCCCGAGCGCUGCCGUCCACGUCCGGACGAAGAAGAAGCCGAGCAGGCCGGCGGAGACGUUGAGGGAGGGGACGAUGCCGGUGGUGAGCACGAACUUCAUCACGAUCACGUUGAACACCACCGCGAGCACGAGGCUCACCGCGAAGGCCCUCGCCGUCAGCUGCUCCCGCCACGUCGGAACCCGCUUCCCGUCGAACUCCCUCUCUAUCGACGCCGCCGCCACCAAUUCUCUCUCUUCCUCCUCCAAAUCGUCCUCUUUCCUCCUCCUCCUGGCUCCGGCCUCGCCGUUCUCUGCCUCUGCGGCCGUGUCCUCCUCCAUCGCUUUCGCCUCCUGCUGUUCUGCUGCCAUCUCCUCCUCUAGCUGAUUUCUAUGGUCGAGGAUUGGGAUCGACAAGCGGCAGCAUUAAUAGAUUGCGCUUAGAUUCAACCUUUUGACACCGAAAUCUUUCUCUCCUUCGAUUUGGCUUCAGGGGAAUCGUUGGAAUCUGGGUGGAGUUUCCGAAUCAUCCAAAUCGAAUCAAACCAAAGGAAUCAUUCGAAAGCUCAGCCAAAAUAAUCAAAUCGAUUAUUUUAGUGCUUACCAAGAAAGCACAAAAACUUCACCCAACAUCUCACCUACCUAAAUGUACAGAGGAAGAGUCUCGGUUUUGCCGUCCGUAUCGGCUUUCCCUCUCUCCCAACUAAAUCAUUUGUCUUGUGACGCUGACAAAAACCAUCUAUCUGCAUUCGCUGCUGCAAUCUCGCUACUCCAUGCAAGCUGUUCUUUUAUAGUGGUCGAGACUGCUUUGUGUACUUUAGAUUAACACGAUACUUCGAAAUCGAAUCGGAUCCGAGACCGUUCCACUUCUCUUUUUUAUAUGUCGUUUUAUAAUUUUUAUUUUUAAUAGAAUAAUUUAAAUUAGUAUAAAAAUUUAUAAUUUGAUUUUAAGAUUUCGAUCAAAGUUUCAUUUUGAAAAGUUGAUGUAUUUCCAUAGAUAUAAUAAUAACAUGCAAGCGAAUGAAUUGGUGUGAAAAAGAAUAAGAAUUUUAGGAGAUAUUUUGGGAUUUUUUUUCCUUUCCAAAAUGCCUCUAAACUAACUGUUACUUGGUUAUUGAAAAAAGCGAACGCCGCCAACAGUCGCCCUCACACCGCUCAGCGACCUGAAGCGCACCGCCCCCAUCUACGGCGACUGCCCCUCCGUCGUCUACAACCUGGUCCCUGACCCACCGCCGCUGCCUCCGUCCUCUCCUCCCUCGGCAUCUCCCGCGCCGACGUGGUACUCUUUCGCCCGAACCUUGCGUGUCCCAAUUUCUUCCUUUACAUUUCCCCUAAAAAUUCAUACAUCUUAUCUUCUUCACGCUUUUUUACUUUUACAAUCUGAUCUUGAUGGGCAUUUUCUGGUGUAAAAAUCCCAUCUUUUUAGGUGACGGUGCUCGCCCCCCAACACUCCGGCCAUGUACGACAUGCACUUCGUCGUGCCGAUGAGCGGCGCCGUUCUCAACACAAUGAACACCUGCCUCGAUGCCCGUACUGUCUCCGUCCUCCUCCACCAUAGCGGCUUCAAGCUCGUCUUCGUCGACGUCAUCUCUCGCCCCCUCCUCGACGGCACCCUCCGCCUCUUUCCCGAUUCCCUCGAACCGCUCCGAGUUAUCCUCAUCGAGGACCUCGACGAGGCCCCGCCUGCCCAAAACUCCACCCUCACAUGUGAGAAGCUCAUCGAAACUGGGGCCCCAGAAUUCCGGUGGGUCCGCCCCCUGACUGAGUGGGACCCAGUGUUCCUUAACCAUGCUCCAGAACCACGUCCGCUCCACUGCCACCGCGGCCUCUUCUCAACUCCAUCAGCUCCCUCGUCUAUUGGUCCGUCCCGAAGCGGCCCAUCUACCUGUGGACCCCUUCUCGUGUUCCACUCCGACGGGUGGAGCAUCGCCGUCGCAAGCAAUUUUGAUUUAUUCUUAAUCUUGGAUGACCUUUAUUUGCUCAUUGCUGUGCUUCCACCCAUAUAAUAAACAAACUUUAAAAGAAAUGAGAAAUUAUUGGCAAAAUAUGCUUUAUUUUCUUCUGAAUUUUAGAAGGUAAGACAGAGAAGAGCUAAAACAAAACCAAAUUUACUCCCAAUCAAGUAGCUCUCGCAGAUACCUAAACAGUAUCAAAACACUGUCAAAUCCUUGUGUCUUACGGAGUUCAACAUUUGCACCAAUCACAGAGUCUCAGCGAUAGGCAACAACUGAGACUGCAGCUUGAGGUCCACCUUGAAUGUAGACAAAGACGAACCCUGCGCCAGGCUCCAACACCUGCAACCAUGGUGGAAGCUCGUACAUCUUCUUCUCCUGCGUCUGCGAGAGGCCCCAGAGAGUCCCUGUGAGGUUCUCGAUCUUCAACUUGAGGUACGUGAUCCGCUCGCCGCAUGUGUUCUUGACGGCCACCUGGUGCCGGUAGUAGUCCUCUCCUUGGUACUUCCAUGUAUUGGUUAUGGUGUGCACGAACUCAACGGCUGCUUCUGCAAACAAGAAUCGACUUGAGAGCUUGAACAAGUCAUGGAGUGCUCAAUCACAUCCCUUGAGCAGCAACACUACUCACCAUUUGGCUUUGGAUUUGGCCCUGCUGAUUUUUGUUUAGAACCUGCAAUUGUAUCAUAGCGCACACAUUUAGUUACCAUUCUGAAUUACCCAUUCAGCAUUUCAACCUGUCAUCGAGACAUCUCCCUUUACCUGGAGAUGAAUCUGGUGUUGAGUACUUGGGAGAAUGACCUGCAAAGCUCACAUCCUUGAGUUCUCUUUCUCGGGCUCUAGUUUAUAGCGACGAGAUCAGUCAUGCAAUGGAUUACCUUUGUCACCUUCUAAGCCGUCCAACGCCGCAAAUAGGCCGACCAGGGGAGCGUUUCCGGCGAUGGAAGGCUCGGUCUGCUCGUAUUUGCACCGGUCAUCGUAGAAUUCAUCUUUCAGAUCAGGGCCUCCGACCAGAGCUCCUUCGAUGACGUUGGGGUUGCUGUCCUUGUUGACGUACCAGUAAUCGAACCCGUCGAUGCAUCCCACAGCAGAAGGCAGCACGAAUAUUGAUGGAACCGAAGCUCCCCUGUGGUGCACAUGAGUGGGAUAGUUCCAUCCGUAGCCAACCAAGUAGCUCAUGGACUUUGGAUUCUUCCCCAGAAUGUAGUCGGCCUGAUGAAUUGCAGCAAUGCAGAAGUUGUCUUUUAUGAGGACUUCUCGUGCUAAGGAAGCAAAACUUUCUGCUACUAAUUCGGAAUACUACUAAGCCAGAGAUAUACUAUGAAGUAGAAUACCUGAGACUCUGCAAAUUUUAGUAGCAUCUCAGGACUGAUUUGGCCAUCAGGGCAGACGAGGUUAGCAUUUGCCAUUCUCAAAUAAUUGGAGUAGACUGCCGACAGAAACGCUGCCGAGGAAACAUAUUGCAGGUUUUGCCAGUCAUGGAAGUACAAUAAACCCCCUGUUCACGACAUCAUAAUCAUGCAGCUUAAUAUGAUACAAUGACGUGAAAGGAUGCUGGCUAUGUUAGAAAUGGAAGUAGAUGAGCAUGUCAAGAAACAAUCUCGUUGUCGAUGGAAAACCUGGAGUCAUUUCGACGUUGUCGCCGUUGUUCUUCUGGAGGCACGCGCAUAGGAAGAACUCAGCCUUUGCCUUGUAUUGAUUGAGUGUGGCAUUGCAGGUUUCACCACCACCCCUGACCAACACCUGCAAGAACAGAGGUUCUCGUACAGACGUCGCAUGUGAAGCCAUGAUUUCCUGAUAAAUCUGUGUUGUGUACCUUUGACAGAAGGACCUGCAAACCAGCAUACUUGUUGUCCCAUGAGAAUUCAGUAACAGCCCAUCCAGUUCCUCCGAGGACGACAGCAUUCUGAGCUACAUAGUUCAGGUAGGACUUGUCAUCCGUUGCUUCAAAAAGCCAAGCAGCAGCCCACAGCAACUCAUCCUACACCAUUAACAAGUGCAUCAAAGCUUCGGCCAUCGACACGGUCGCACUCUAACAAGGAAUUCGAUCACAUCAAACGGCAGAUGACAUAGUGGGGAAAGAAGUGAAAUCGUUCUUACGGAGUAACCGGUGGAAGAAGGAUAGUACUUGCGAACAGAGUGAACCGAAUCGUCGUAUCGACCACGGUACGUGUCAGCGAAGGAAAACAGCUGCAGCAACAUCAGAUAUUGAUCACUCAAGCUCAUAGUAAGAGAUGGUGGUUAUUACCAUUGAUGAUAUCUUACCUGCCGUGCAUGCAAGAGGAGGAGAUCGGAGUACUUGGAAUCGUAUGGUCUGAAAACUAUGGAAGCUGCAGCCAUCGCAGCAGCAGUCUCGGCUGCCACUUCAGAGCCUGGGUGCUCGCAGUCGACCUUGUAUGCGGUCCUCGGCGUCGUCAUGUCCUCCGCCCUCUCCCAGCAGAUAUGGUCGGAAUCUCCAUCGCCGACCUUUUCAAGGCUCACCACAGGUUAUCGAAGUAAGAAGAAUGCUUUCCAAGCUUUCAUGUUGGUUGCAGAGUCAUUACCUGCACCCAGAGGAGAUCGGGUUGUCUGUGUGCUUUGACGAAGUAAUCGGUUCCCCAGCGAAUGGCAUCGAGAGCGAACUCUAAUUGCCCCGCGUCGACUAUCUCUUUCUCGAACUCGAUCACGCUCCAUGACAGCAUCGUGACAGCGUAUGCCAUCGGCAAUCCAAAUUUCACAUGAUCACCGGCGUCAUAGUAGCCUCCUACCAAGUCCACCUGACAAGGAAGGAACCUCGAUUAGGUUGAUCGAAGCAACCAUGAUGGAAUGCAACGAUGAACUAAGAGACUGACCCCUUGGCUGAAGCCAUCCUUCAAAGCAGAAUCACCUCGCCAUUUCACCCUCUGAUCCGCCGGCAACUUGCCCGACCUCUGCGCCUCGAAGAACAGCAGACUCUUGGUCAAAGCUUCCCUGUAGCUGAAUCCAUCUUCUGCGGCAGAGCUCAGCGAACACCCAAGCAGCAACGCUGCCAAGGCGAACGACAUUAUCGGCCUCGCCAUUGUGCGCUUCGGUGGGGAACACAAUCGAACACAAAUGUUGCCGAAACCUGUUUUGGUUCGAGUCUUAUAUAAGAGACUUCAAGGAAGAAAGAAGGUAGGAUGCAUGUCGGAGAAUAUGUGUGGCACGUCCACAUAGCGGAUGUUACAGCCAUCCACGUAUGGAAGCUGCUUGUCAAACGCAGAUAUUUUAAGCGCAUGAAGUGCCACAGAGGAGGCAUUGGUUGGGACACUUAGAGAUUUCAUUCUAAAACGUAAUCUCAAAAUUUUGUUUUUAUUAAUUUAUUUGUUUUUCUGUUAAUAUUCCUAUAUUUAUAUGACGUUCUAAUUGGAGUCGUUGUUUAUGAUUACACAUAUUAAUUAUUACCACUAACAUCUGUUUGGUUUUACACUGAAAAAAAUCUUGUUUUUCUUAUUUCUAAGAGUCUCUUUUCUGAGAAAAUCAAUUUUAAGAUUUUUUUCACAAAAUCUAUUUUCAUUUUUGUGUUUGCUUGUGAUAUUCGAUCAAGAGAAUGAAUCCAACUAUAAACCUACACAAAAGAUUGGUAAAAUUAUUCGGAAUGAUUUCUAAAUCUUAUUAUUUUAUUCUUAUCAAUCAAAUUAAAUUAAAUUUUAUUAUUGAGCUUUUACCCCAUGAAAAUAUCAUGACACUUGAAAUUGGUAGUAAAACUACCCUAUCCAAUAUCAUAAGUUUUAUGUUAUAUUUUUUUAAAUUAUGGGGACUUUAAUUCAUAUUAAUGUUAUUUAAUAUCUUUUGAAAUAAUUAUAAAAAAGGGUUAAUGAUAAAUUUGUAUCUGCAACAUCAUGUGCAAAUUAUUAAUUUCUUCAUGCUAAAUUUUAUUAGAAAUAUGAAGCUUUACAUCUCUUACUUAUAAAUAUGAAUUUAUUUAUAUUUUUAUUGGCAUAAUUAUUACCAACAUUUAACUAUACAUCAUGUAUGAAAUAAAUUACAUGUUUAUUCAUAUCAUCAUGAUUUUAAUAUUAAAAAUAAUAUAACUAUAUAAUAUGUCAUGAUAGUCUUAGUAUAGAUAAAAAGAUUAUUAUCCUAAUAUCAUCCAUGAGGGAGAUAUGUUAGGUUAUAAUAGGUCUUUUGAUCAAUGAGAACUUAAUCUUUGUAAUAAGUGAUCCAAAAAAGGUUUAAUAUGAUAAUAAUAAGUUUAUUAUAAAAAACAUGUUGAAAGCUUUCUAAUUGUGCUAGGUUAAAUUUAUAAAAUCUUGAUCGAUAUCUUUUUAAGUUAAAUUGAGUUACUAUUGGGUCGAAACCAUGUCAACUUGUCAAGAAACCCAUUGGACUUAAACCAUGAUCAAAUUGGACAUGUUAGAUGGUUAAAUCAGUGACCUAAAGUGGGCCGGGGCAGUGGUAUCGUCAAGUUCAAGCAGUGGUAUCGCUUUGAGUCAAUCGAAAAGCAAUAUUUGUGUGGUUUCGAUGGUAGUACCACGCAUGCUAGCGAUAGUACUGUCCAAGGCAAUGAUUGUAUUACUUAGGCUAGCGAUAGUAUCUUUAGAGUCUUGAUUCAUGGCCUCAUUAUAAAGAUAGUACCAUUCGGUACUAACGGUAGUAUCACUAGUACCUAAAAAUUUUAGGGAUUUGAAUUUUUAGCACUAUUUAUGAAGUAUUUUGGGUCUAUAAAUAUCUCACUCAUACUUGCUUGAUGGAGCACUAAUUUUUGAAUUCAAAGGUAUUGUAAACUCUCUCUUUAAGCAUUGUUUAAGUUUCUAUCACAUUCUUGAGUUUAGAAGUGGUUCUAAGUCAUACGAGGUGAGAUCUCUUGUAAAAGCUAGAGUGUGGAGGUUCUCCCUUAAGCGUUAAAAGGAGAAGAGUUGUAAUAAAGGUACUUGAUCAGGACUAAUAGCAGAUAAAAUUUUCCCAACUACAGGAGGAAAUCUUGCUAUUCUAUUGAGGGAAAUCCUCUAUUCUGUUGAGCGAAAUCCGGACCGUGACUCUAUCUCAAAGUAGUGCAACAUUUUCCACGGACGUCCUCCAGGAUCAUUGUGUCGGUCUCCUUCGAAGUUGAACAUCGUGACUCUAUCUUAGAGUAGUGCAACGUUUUCCACGGACGUCCUCCAGGAUCAUUGUGUCGGCCUCCUUCGAAGCUGAACAAGGGCCACCACACCGCGCCCUCUUCUCCUCCCUGCAUCGGUGGCAUUCUUUACUGUCGCCCUUCCUCCACCUCUUCCUGUAGAAGCAGAGCCAACGUAGCCUUGCAACUGCUCCCCGGCCAACGAUCUCUCCUCCUCGUUCCCGUAUCUCGCUCAAGCGAGAAUUGUCGUUGUCGUCGUCCUUACCGUAGCAACCCAGCAACAGCUCUAUAUUCUGUUGAGGGAAAUCCUCCCUCCAAAUCUCUAUAAAUAGGACUAUAAAUAGAAGGACAUAUUAAUGCAUUCAAGCUUUUUCAAUAAAACUUCUUCAAUAAUUCUUCUUAUAUUCUAUUCUUUUAUCUUCUAUUCAUUCGAUUUACGAUCAAAUCGUAAAUCGAUUUGUAUUUUUUCUCUUACCUUGAUUUACUAUUGCAUACCGAUUUAGUUACUAGCAAGUUUUGAUAUAUAUCAAUAUUAUGUAUGAUGGUUGAAGUUUGAAUAAAUGGAACUUAGACUUGAUUAAUUUAGUUUUGACAAAAAUGGUCACACUAAGUAAAGUUUAAAUCUCUAAGAUAUUUUACCCAUAGUAUAAAUAUCAAAUAAAUUAUUUGAGUAAAUAUUUUAUGUUUUAAUUUUUUUUAAUAAACAACAUUAUGAUGGAUCGGUAGAGAUUUUAUUCUAAAACGAAAAUCUCAUAAUAAUUUUAUUUUAUUUAAUAUUUUAAUUAAUUUUAUUGUCUAUGAUUACAAAUAAUCAAUAUUUAUUGCCCCUAUUAGUUAUAUAUCAACUCUUCAAUAAAAAAAAAAUAUCUAUUGCUUGAUUUUAUACUGUUUAAAAUCAUAGAUAUCUUCCUUGAUUUUUUUGGUCUUCUUGUGUUUGUAAUAUUAAACCUAUACCAAAUUCUUCCUUAAGAUAGCUUAUAACGAUUUCAAAUAAUUUUUAUAUUUUUAUAUUUUAUUUUAAUCAAUAGAAUCAUAUUUAAUUUUAUUGCUGAGUUUUUACCAUGCACAUGACAUCGUAGUACAUCCUAAUUAAUCCUUAAUAUUAUAAAGGACUGCUACAUAUAUAUAUAUAUAUAUAUAUAUAUAUAUAUAUAUAUAUAUAUAUAUAUAUAUAUAUAUAUAGCAUCUAGAAACGCCUUUGGAUGUGAGACAUGAUGUGUGAUUUGACAUUUUCACACCCGCUCACGAAGAUAUAAAUAUCUAUUAAUCUUCUCUAUCAUCUUAAAUUGUUUAUUAAUAUUAUUGCAUCUAAGUCAGAUGAGACAAGGUCAAUGAUUUUAUAUUUUGACAUAAACUAAUUUGUCAUGCUUGACUUGAGACAUUAAGAGAGCCAUGAUUGAAAGCUAAGUAAUUCUCGAAUCAAUUGACCCAAACCCAUCUAGAUAGAGAGACGUAACCAAAUCACAAAGCAACACGUGGCUAUUCAGACACGGCCUCAACAGGAACUCCUUUCCUAGAAACUUCCCUGCACGCGUAUUAAUCAUCAAGUGGUCAUGGUUGGCUGCAGCAUAUCGUAUGCGUCCUCCACAGACACAGAGGAGGAAGAAGACAAAGGGAGAACAGACGUGUGCCCUAAUGGCCAUAUUUUUCCUACCCAGCGUAAGCCAAAGCACACACGAAAGGUCUACUCUCACACAAAAUCUAGAAGGUAUAUGACUUGUGAAGAACGUUUCUCUUUUAGUCUAUAAAUACUCUGUUAUGACCUGCUGGGAUCAACGAAGAAGAUUGGAGCAUUCCGAGAGUGCCUUCUUUGUGCUUCUACCUACUCCUCCAACCCUAGGCAUGAUAGUUCACAGGAUGGCGAAAGGCUACUACGGUUCUAAGUUUGCGACGGAGGUGGCGCCGCCAGAGCUGGUCUCGGUCGUGAAGCGCAAGGCAGCGAAGGUACUAGACACGAUCGAGGAGGAGGAAGAGGAGUUGGAGUUGAUGGAAGAUCUUUCCGGGACUUGGGAGAUCACUCCUGCUGGAAUCGACAGAGAAGGAUUGUGAGUCGAUGAACGUUGUCCUGUAAACUCCUUUGAGUUCUUCAUUCCAGCCCUGUACAAAUUACACCUGUGCUGAUACUGAAAUUUUUGUGGCUUUUCUUAGAUUAGAUGCCGCUCUGUGUUUGGUGUUUCGUGCUCAAAUCUUGCUUGCAGAUGUAAUUGUGCUUUUACUGUACGGUGAUUGGCAAAGAAGCUCCUGUAGAAAUUGCCUGAUUCAAUCGAUAGGUUCCCCUGUUCUUACUUGGUAUGAGAAUUAGUUCCGACUAUUUCUACCACUGUAGAUCAGAUUUAUCUGCAGUACAAGAACAUAAUAUUUCUCACCCAAAAAUUCAAAAUGAGUGUUUUGCAGAACGAAGUUAAACAAAUAAAAAAUAAAAUAAAUAUUUUGCCAAUAAUUUAAAUAAAUAUUACAAAUGGUAUCACAUAAACAUAUCCAAUAUUGUACCCAAACAUUAUGCCACCGAAUGAUCCCUGUUAGUGGCUUCCGGAAUCACUUGCUCAAGGUAUUAGAAUUAAGCCUCAGAUCAUCGUACCAGAAAAGAAGUAUAUAACAAAUAUAUAUAUAUCUUUUUUUCCCGAUAGAUAAAAACAGAUCAAAAUAUGGAGAUACUUGAAUUCUGGAUGUUUCGCUGCAAAAUGCUGGAAUAUAUACCUCGGAGAGCGUCCCUGAGUUCCAUCCUGAAAGGGAAAAUAGCCAGAUUAAAAAAAUAUAUAGCAGGAAAAUAUUUUGCAGCCAUCAUCAGAAAAGUAGAGAAAUUUUGUAGAUUAAAAUAUCAAACAUUCUUUCCAAGACUUGGGAGUGAGGAUAACAAUUGUUGAGGUGAAUGUAAAGUCAAACAAGAAUGGGAAGGCUGCUAGAAAUUUGGAAACUCAAGAUGACACCUCCAGGCAUUUUUCCUUUUUUGCCAAUGGCUGCAAGGGUUCUGGAUUUACUUAGCAAGUGAGAAGUUUUCUCAACAACAGUAAAGUAGAAAAAAGAAAAGACCACAAGUAGAAUAACUAAUGAUUCAGAAAGAUAUUGGUAAAUGCUUGCUGCCAUAAACAUCAACUUUACAGCGAAAAAUCUCGAAUCAAUUGUGUGAUUGUUUGCAGCUUCUACAUUGAAUAAAACAGCCAGAAUUUCAACAAAACCAGGGAACAACCACCAAACGUAGAAUCAUAAAAUGGAACAGUGCAUCACAACCCCAACUAGGCUAAUGAAUAAUCAAUCAUGGGCAGAGUACAGAGUGAGGUGUUAUUCUGUGAACCAAUGUAGCUUCUACAUUGAGAAAAAGCCAACGUUUCAACAAAACAAGAGCAUACCCGCCAAAGAAGAAUCAUAAAUAUGUAAUAAUGCAUCACAACCCCGACUAUGCAAUGAAUUAUCGAUCAUGGGCAGAAUUCAGAGGAUUGUUAUUGUACUAGUCUGUCCACACACGUGUAGGGCACAUGUUGAUGGGCUUGGCUCAUGUCCUUCGCUGCCAGCUGGUAAGUGGAAUGCAUGACACUGAUCCUCUUUCAUAUAGUGACCACAUCCAGCUAAAACUUUGAAGCUAUACAAGGACCACAACCGAAGAAAUAAAGAUGAUACAGGAAAGACCAUUGUGUCUGCUUUGGUUGAUGUUUUAUCCUUUCCAUUUCUCUCUUGCUAAUUACAAAUUAGUACCCAGAUCAUUAAACAGCCAAUAAGGUAAUUGUACCAGCUACAUGUAUAUGAUUAUCGACGACUAAUCCAAAACUUGUUCCCCAUUUUCUUCCAACACCAAAUUUUGAGGGCAAAUUUUACCAGAUUACAUCAGCAAAAAACAAGCUUAAUAUUCCCGCCAGUACUAAAUUUAUAAGUCCCUCUUAUGCCAAAGUUCAGCUUCAACCAGGAAUUUUCUACCUGCAAUUAGACAGUUAUGGAGACAACCGUUACUCGGAUUUUCUAGCUCCUUUAUAUAAGUAUGCCCCUUGGGACUACGGUACAAAACCACAAACAAGGCUCCUUUAUCAGUAACAUAGCAGGAUGGUAGUUUUCUCCUAUCUGGAGCUCCUCAAAUGAUAAGUAUCCAGAUCUGAUUUUGGAGAUGCCAAUAACUUAUCCAAAGACUAAACCUUCUUGAAUCAUCAAGAUGGCAUUCAACUUGCACAGCUGCUACAUGUACAGACUGCUUUGCAAUUUUCCGUUUAGCCUAGAGCUUGAAACAUUACCAAUCCAAGGUUCUGUGUGAAGAUUGAACCACAUCUGCUGCAUCGACCAAUUUCUCUCAUUUUUCUUGUGCCAGUUGAAGGUUAUAUAUUGUGUAUCACAAAUAUGAAAGUAUUUGUGCCCCAAUUAUCUGUGUGCUGGAAGGUUGGUUUUAAGGUUCAUUAUGGUUUCUAGUACUUUCCGAAUCUUUUAAACCAAAACUUGAGUGGCCAUUGUAAGGUCAUGAAUGAGGUCAUUUUAGUUGUUGUCAUUGACUAUUAUCACUAGCCAUAACCAGGUUACAUAACACAUCUGGAGAACCCAGUUUCCGGCAGUUUAGGUGGUUUAAGAAUGAUAAAUGAGGAUGCCAUGGUGGAAAUUUUGGAAGGUUUACGAAGGAGAAUGUAUUAGCCCUCAGUAAUUUUGACUGCCACUUCCAUAUGCAUGUACAUUCCGCUGAUGCAACCACACUGGCUUUAUGUGUCCUAGACCAGCACAAUUAGAUGCAGCUCUUGCAGGAGGCACUAAGGCACAUGUCUUUGCACCAAGAUAGAUAGAGGACAACUAACCAAGCCAACAAGUGCCAUACACAUUGUACAUCAAUUCAUAUCUGAUGUUCCGUAAUUUUAUACAUUCAUAUGUUUUACUAUUUCUACUAAUAAUAAUUUAUGCACAGUGUCUAUAACAAGUUCAUUUACAGACAGCACUGUUACAAAUUUUAAAAAGGUAGUUUGGUCCUGCAUAUGCACUUCAAUAGAUGAAAAUUUGCUACCAAUAUGCAUGCAUCUACAUUUAAUUAUGUGAAAUCUAUCUUCAAAUAUAACUCUAUAUUUACUAAGCAACACCUAGGAGAAAGUUGUUUAAAUAAAUCAAAAUUGAAAUAAAAUAUUAUUUUAUUUCAAGGGACAUCCAUCUAAAACCACUCAAAUCUAGCAUUAUCUACAUCAACCAUCAAAAUAGAGAAAAUUGACAUCAUCAUAUCCAUUUGAAGUUAUGUGAUCUAAGAUGCCAUAAUAGUCUCAUGUGUAUCUAUAAUAACUUUGAGUCCCAAUUUAGCAUAUUCAUCGAAUGGCAAAAAAGGAAGGCUAACCAUGCCACUAGUUCAUUUGAACUAAUGGCUGUUUACCAUAUCACUUCCUCUCUAAGCUUCUUACAUGUCAUAUAUUCUAAAUGCUAAAAUUCUUAGGUAGCAUGUGGGGAUAAUCAUCACAAGAAAACACAUUUGUUGACUACACCAUUGAAAUCUACAAGAAGAAAGUCAGAAACGCUUGCACUCUUUGUUCCAACUUGGUCAACAUAUAAAAAUUACAGCAAGAAAUUGAUCAAUUUCAAGAUAUUUUAUAAUCUGCAUAGUUCCAAGAACUAAAUAGUGCAGUCUGAAAUAAUAGAAAUAAAGAAGUGUGCAAUAAAAUCUAGUUAGAAGUAUAUUAAUUCGGUCAUAUCAAAAAGAGCAAGGAAACCUACAACUCAAUAAUCUGCCAUUAAAACCUACAGUUGGGCCAGAAACAAGCACAUAAGACAAUAAAAUAGCAUUAAGAAAUUCAUAUGGAGAAACAUGUCUGAGUAGUUAUGAAUGACAAUAAUAUAUCUCCGACUAGAAACAUCAUAAUAUAACAAACACCAUGAAUCAAAAUGACAAAACAUUCAAUGGCUUUCAUUAUCAGAAAUGAAAGAAUCUCAAGAGUAAUGUCAGAGACUGUACCUCUCAACUCUUCUCAAUCCAGAUCUUCCUGCUCAGCCUCUGACUGCCUGUACCCUUGCUGUCCAGAAUUUGCGUCAUUGCUAUUACCACGGGCGUUGCCAUUACCCCCAUCACCAACUCCAACAACAUGCCCAUCCAGACCUUGAGUUGCAAAAGGCAUAAAUGGCCAGGGCAGAGAGAUACUAAAACUCCUCUGCAACAUCCCCGAUCCUGGAGAAUUCCCCUCUACAGAAGCCCCAGCUGUGGACCCACCAGAAUUCCCCACCCCAGACAAUGUCCUCGCUGCAGGGGCCCCUCUGCGCUGCUCGUAGUCCGUAUCGUCAGUAGGCAGCUCAUACCGGCACACCGGACAGGAAUUAUGCAACCCAAGCCACGGCAAGAUGCAGUCUUUAUGGUAGAUAUGCUUGCAAGGCAUCAACUUUGCCUCAUCCCCCAUCUCGAAUGCGUCCUUGCACACGGCACACUGGGCCUCGUCGGAGGCAAGCGACUCGGCCGAGAUCCUGAUGUCCGGCAGGGAUUCAACAGCGGAUUUGGCAGCCGGAGGCGUGCCAUAACGAUUGGGAUCGUUCUCCGCGAGCUGCUGGAUGAGCCUCUCGAGGCCAGGGCCAAUAAAAUAGUCCCCGAGGUUGCCGGCGCCGACGACGGGACCACCCUCGAGAACGACCUGGAUGUUGGCGCCACCGGAGAGCAACUGCCGCAUGUAAUCCUGGAGGAAGAGCAUCGGAUUGAAAGGAGCGGGUCCAGGGGUGGGGGAGGGUUCGGAGGAGCGGACGGGGCCGAGGAGGUCGGCGAGGUCCCUAGGGCUGCGAAGCUCGAAGUUGCUGGUUGGAGACAAGAGAAAUGGGAGGGGGGAUGGGGAGAGGAGGAAGGAGUCGUAGCUGCCACGGGGAAUGGAGAGGGGGAAGAUGGCGUUACGGAUGGGGAAAGGGGCGGGAUCGGGGCUGGGAGGCGUAGGGUCGACCUCCUCGAGGAAUCCACCACGGCAGAUAGGGCAGGUGAUGUCGAGGGUAGAGGAGGGGAAGAUGGCGACGUUGCGUUGGCAUUGGUGGCAGAAGUACUCCUGGAAGUCGGAGCCGGGGCCGGCGGAGGACAUGGUGACGGGGUCGGGAGAGGGAGAGGGAGAGGCAGAGGGAACUUUCGGUGGCGAGAACGCAGGGCAAAAGGGAAGGUUUUGAAACGACCGGGGGCGCUGAAAGAAACGCACGAGACUCGUGUCAGCGACAGCACGAUAUCUACCAAAAGUAGCAACCUUCCCAAGAGCUGAAGACAUUGAAUUCCAAAUUUUAUAUAUAUAUAUAUAUAUAUAUAUAUAUAUAUAUAUAUAUAUAUAUAUAUAUAUAUAUAUAUAUAUAUAUAUAUAUAUAUUCACAAUAAAACAUAAAUUUUUUGUUCGUCGCUAUUAAAAAUAGUAUAAUGAUCUGUAAAUUUAAGAAUGAAAAAUGGUAAAAUAUCAUUACUGGGAUUCAUUUUUCAUAAUUUAGAAAAAAAAAUUGUUGGCUAAAGGCAAAAGAGAGGCCACUAAAUCUUGUGCUGAAGAAUUACUAAUAAAUCUACAUGAUAAUUAAGGUUAUUUUUCCAUAUUUUAGCAUGCAGAAGAGAGGACGCUAAAUUUAUAGCUAAAUAAAUAAAUAAAUAAAAAUGUCGAUAAACCUGGUUCGAAUGUGAGGCAUGUACUCGACACUCUCUAUGUCGCGAUUCGACUCUCGCCAUUCCCAAACGAGUGGACUCGGAUUACCACGAGCCGCACGAAGAGCCACACAGCUUGAGAAGCGCCCGCGCCCUCUCCGUCCAUGGCGACGACGAGCUUCUCCCCCUCCGCGGCCGUUCGAGCCCCCUCCGCCUCCUCGUUCGGUCCGCAUCUCGACCUCAGCCGCCGCAUCCGCCUCCCGCUGACACGCCCCCCUGCUCCGGCAGCUCGGUGGGGGGCGCGGCGGCACGUCGCCCCUUUUCGCCUCGCCGCCAGGAGGCUCUCCGUCCGCUGCGGCGCGCUCGUCCAGAUCGACCAGAGCGAGUUCCCGGCUGAGGUGCUGGGGUCUGAUAUCCCGGUCCUGGUGGAGUUCGUCGCCGAUUGGUGCGGGCCCUGCCGUUUGAUCUCAUCCGUCGUCGAGUGGGCUUCCCAGGUCUCUUCUUGUGCCAAACCAUUGCAAGAUUUCUCCUUUCUGUUAAUUGUCGCGUUAUAUCAGUAUAAAAAUCGAUUUUUUGGGGGUUUUGUUUAAUGAAAGAUUGAAUUCAAAGGGACAUGAGCAUUUUAAUUCCUUUUUGUCAGAAAAUGAUGCUUUUAGGCUAAAAUAAUAUGCAUUGAAUGUAAGAUGCACGUCCAGGAUUGUUGCAAAACCACUUUUAGUAGAUUCUCAAUUAGGAAGGUGCAUAGAACAUCGAGAUAUUGCGUGACAAAAUAUUUGUUGUUUUGUUUUAUUAAAGCCUUAUAUUGGUAGAUGACAGCAUUUUAACCUGUACUGGGUUGAAAUGAUUCUUGUAUCUAGAAGGAAGCCUCCUUUGUGGAGGAGCCAAAUCACUGGGGUGAUCGAUGGAAAUUGGCUACUGUGAGACCUUCCAUCCCACAAACAACCACAUCAUUCGAUUCUGUGCCUUUGGAUAACUGUGAUUGCGUUUUUCCUGUCCUUAAUCUCUAAUCGCCGCCAUCCCAAGUCCAUCUUCCCCUCUUCUGCUUAUAAAGAGGAAGUAGGUGUCCAUGUUCUGCCGCAAGCAGCUUAUGCCUUACAAUGCUUCCACUACCAUGCCGCCCCCUGCUACCAUCAACUCAAGUACUCUCCUUCCAACUUCUUUGCAUCUUCCCAUGGAAACUAAUCCCUCCUAUAUUCCCACAGUUCAGGUCAUCCAUCUUCCUGAGAAUGAGCACUUCACCUACUUCUCCUCCCAUGUUGUUGUCAUGUUGGGGAGCCAACAAGGCAUAGUGGAUAUGUAUCAAUUUCUCUGUAAUUUUAGCUAUUAGGCCCAUAAUUAUUGAAGUUCUUAUUUCCAUCACGAUCAUGCUUAGAAUCAAUGCUAGGUAAAUUGAUUUUGAUAUUCCACGUUAGCCUUACACCAAGAUCUUUGACAUGUUGUUACUGGUGUUGCCACAGUAUCUCAAUUUGAUAUCUCAUUGUGUAUGACAUGUAAAAAUUCAUUUCAUAUGCUAGAAUAAUGACUAAGAUUAUGAGAAUGAUUCUCAAUUGUGUUCUUAUUGCUCCAAAAUUGAUGAGUGUGUAUGAUGGUGCAGGGUUAUAUAUUGCCAAACACUGGUGCAUUAUCUAUUCAAAGAAGUGUCAUAAGUCUAUAUCGCAAAGUUACAUAUUAGGAUUCUAACCUGUGAGAUAAUGAUAUGGAGAAACUAUGACUGUUGUUACUUUUGAGAUUUAGAUAGAAAAUGAUAUGCAGUCGUUCCAUGGCAGAACUUUAAGGAGUGUCGCAAUAAUUGCUGCUCUUAAGCUAUGAUGUCCAAGAGCUAAUCAGCAGACAUAACUGAACUUUUUUGUUAUGUUAUUAGUACCAUGUAAUCAAUCUUAAAUUAAUGCUAUUUAAGUUUUAGUUUCCUGAAAAUAUAAGAGUAAAAUAUGUGGAAACAUGUUAUAGAUCUGUUCCGUUCAAUUAGAACUAAUGUUGAUAUUUGAAAAAAUAUAUAUGUACAUGAAGAAUCAGACAAUUAUUCAUCAAGGAUAAGUAACUGCAAAAUGCUACAUUUACUGAAUAAGUUCAUUGGAUGAUAGUCUUGUAUCAGACAAAAAGGUCCAACAUAAGUUGUCCUUACAAUCACUCUUUUUUGUUUUUGAAGUGGAGUCUCUUAUUGUUUAGAGGUUUCAAAUGAUGUAUAACAUGCAUGAGUGCUGUAAUAGGGUUAAAUUGAGCUGGAUAUGUAGUAAGUUUGUAUGUUAAUCUAUUAAAUUCCUUGCUGAAUUCCUAGAUCUAGAACAAAAAUUAUAGUAUGUAGAUAUCAUAGUUUCUCCAUUGGAUCAUGUAAGGUUUAGCCAAUCCGUUGAAGUGAACCAGAUUUGCAAGUACAUGUUUAUCUGAUUCACAUUGUUAGCUAGAGAUGCAUAUUGACCCACUUUUUUCCCAAACAUGCAUAACUAAGAACAGAUACUUCAGGUUCCACUAGUUCCUUGAAAAUUUAACACUUUAUAAUGGAAGGCAAUAUGCAAAGUAUAAUCAUUGCCUAUGAAUAGAAAAAGUUUUAGAAUAUUUCUUCUCUAUUCAUGUCUAGCUAUACGAUCAAAUGAUCAUAAAACAGUUGUUGUCGGACAGUUCCCUAGGAGUGAGUACAUACCUGAACCUAAUCUAAAUGCACUGACUGGUCACUGAUUUAAGACCAAUUGAACUUGUUUUUUAGUGAUAUUACCUUCAAUAGCUACAAUCGCAGGAAAAAAUCCAUGUAGCCAACCCAAUAGUUGAGAUGAUUGCGUAACGUUCAUGUUAUACGAGCAAAACUACAGCUCUAAAGGUUUGCUUGAUAUCUGCUUACAAUUUUAUCACAUGUUUCAGGCACCUACAUGUUUUGUGUAUUGGGCAUCAUAGUUUUACUAAAUGAUGUAACGUUUAAAUUCUCUGACUGGAAAUUUGAAGCUUUCAGGAAUACAAGGGCAGAGUAAAGGUUGUGAAGAUCGAUCAUGAUGCAAAUCCUAAGUUGAUCACAGAGUACAAGGUUUAUGGCCUGCCAACAUUGAUCCUCUUCAAGAAUGGGCAAGAAGUUCCAGAAAGUAGAAGGGAAGGUGCAAUCACCAAAGUCAAGCUGAAAGAAUACUUGGACAAUUUUUUGGAGCCCACAUCUGUAGUCUAAUCUCUUUCAAGCUCAAGUACACUGUUGAAUCUAGAUGACCCAGACAUCUGUAGUUCCUCUUAUAACUUCAUGUAAGCUGCAGCCUAUUGCUUGAGGCUUCAAAUGAGUCCAGGAAAAAGUUCCCUUCCUCUUGGAAAUGCAAGCUGGCCUCUUGUAAGACCAAAAUAUUUUUCUGUACACACCUAAUAAGAUUUGUACUGUAAUCUGCAGUUGUCUUUUGAUGGCAAUAUGUGGAUUAGUUGUAUUAAAUAUGAGCUUUGACAAUGUUGAGCGUAGUUCAGAGCUGGCACUUUUCCUACUUUAAGAACAGAGUUCAUUUUGUGAUGUAUGGGAAUUACCUCAAAGGUAUGCGUUGUAAAGCCUGUUUCUCCUUGUUCACAUCUCAUGAAUACAUUUGAGGCAAUGCCCCUUUCUCAAAGAACUGCGGACAAAAGAACAGAAUAGAUGAAUCUAUCCAUAUGGAAUUUAGAAAGGAAUUAUGACAUAAAUUGCUGAUCAAAUGAUUGCUCUGCAGCCAUCAACUCACUUCAGAUAGGGAUUCAAGUCAAAAUUGCAAAUUUUAAUUUUCCAUAAAUAUUAAUUAAAUGUGGAUUUUUUUGAGUGAGAUUUUCAGGAAUGUUCGACUAAAAUUUCCUCAUUUUUAUGGAAAAAAUCCUCUUAAAAAUUCCUCCAAUAUCUUGUCAUAGAUUGUGCAAAAUGCUUUGUUUAUAUGGGCUUUUGGAUGUACAAACUCUUCAAUUAAGCUUCUCAAAUUUCAUAGGAAACUCCUCGUGGGAGCAAUCUAUGAAUCACAUGGUACUGCGGCCUCAACUCCAUCAAAAUCCAAGACUGUCGAAUCUGUCAAUCACUUUCUUGUGGAUACUCGACAUCGUUUGUCUCCCGACACAGUCGAAGUCUCCGUUUUUUCUUUUUUUCCUGUACUUGAGAAGUAGGAUCUGCUCAUCAACUUGCUAAUCACAGUUCCAAUGGCUUCUGGGCAUCAACGAAAGCCUUCGAGAUGGCGAGGAUUGCACUGUAACAACUGUGGCUGUGAUAUCUCAUGCUUUCUUUUAUCCUCGGAAUCAAACGAUGCCUAAAACCAUCCCUUUCUUCGGUUAGAUAAAAAGAAAGGAUGAUCGAGGGCCUGAGAAAGAUCGAUAUGCAUAUGUACGAAUGUGGGUAGUGUUUCUGCUAUUUGUUAAUCCAUUGUUACAUAGGGAACAAAGACAAAGCUGUGAUGAUUGUUUUAGUUCCAAGCGUCUUCACUGAUGCUGCUGGAGGAAAGGCUUGAGAUGGCGGCUUUCACUGUCAUUGGGCUUCGAGGACGACGAUGUAAAGAUGAAGUGGUGAUCAUUAGUGUGUGUUGCUUUAGAUUCAAGUGUGCCUUCGAACUUUGAGGCUAUGAAUGAGACUCAUCCAAUUGCCAAAUGUUCUUUCAGGGAAGGAGGAGAAAAGAUAUGUUUGUCGAUGUGUGUGUGUGUGUGUGUGUGUGUGUGGUUUACAUGCAGCCAAAACUCAUGAAGAGGGACAGUUUGGCUGAGUCGAUCCUGUCCAUCCACUUCGUGUAUAUUUUACUUGAACGUUGCUUUAAGAUUAACAAAUGUUUGGUAAUUGCACGACCGUUGACUUGACUUCUUUCUUCAUGGGAAAUACCAUUCCAUGCGAUUGUGUAUGAUGAGAUGAUGAACGGUCGUUAUAUUGUUUCGUAAAUACUCAUCAAAUAAGUCGUUAUCUUUAAAUUAUUGAGUAAUGUUUUAACCUUAAUUUGUAUUCCAUGGAAUAUUAAAUAUACACAUGUAUUCCUCUCACCAAUUAAAGGUAUUUGGUGAAAAUGUAAGUCAUUUGUGUCCUUUUUCUUGCACAGUAAUUAAAAUAAGUCAUGUGAUAAAUAGCCCACUUCAUCUCUAACCACCUCUAUUUCUCUCUCGCUAUCUCUCACACACACACAAACGCAAAGAAAGGUUCGAGAUUUGCCGGCAAUGGUGUCUUGCCUCGGAUCUCCGAUGCCAGUGGCGCUCUCCUGCUUCUGGAUUUAGCGUCUUGUUCGAGCUUUAUUAUUUGUUGUUUUCGUUUGGUUUGAGAUUUUCCUCGUUCUUUUCGUAAGAUUGCUCAUAGAGAUGGCGAAUCCGCGAUGGAAUUCUCAGACAAAUGGAUAUGACACUGCGAUUUGGGCCGCCAAGAUCGCUUUUUGCUUCCUCGGCAUCCUCUCCUUCGGCGCAGCAGCCAGGGCCGCCAUCCCUGCUGCUGCCGGGGCGCUGGCCUCCGCGGUCCCUGGCUUCUGGGAGUUCCUUCGCUCUUGGCUCGCGCCUCCGUACCUGUUCAUCGCCGUCCAUUUGAUCAUCCUUGUCAUCUGGAAGCUCUCCGAUCAGAAGCAGGAGCAUCACCAACACCGCGAGCAAUGGGCGGCGGCUGAGCGCGUGGCGGAGCCUGAGAAUCCUGCAAAGGUCAAAUCUUUCGAGCCUUUGCAUAUUUCUCCCGUGCCCAUUCUCCGGAAACCCUCGCCGGAGAUGUGGCGCGACGAGAUCUCGCCGUCUCUGACAACACCGGCUGUCCGGGCGCCGGAUCCCGGUGAAUUCUCGACGUCCGACGCGUCGUGCCUGACGACGGAGUCCGGAGAGAUUUCCACCGCUUCGUCAGCGUCUGCGGUCAAGAAGAGCGUCGAACCGGAGUCCAUGAGCAGCCUUACGGUGAAGAAAGAUGAGGACGAGGCAGCGGCGGCGGCCACUGCGGCUGGGACAGCGAAUGACUCGAUGGAGGCAACAUGGAAGGCGAUCAUGGAGAAGUCGCCUCGGGCAGCGGAGGUACCGCCACCGACGGCGUCGUCCGGGCGGGGCUCGAGGCAACCGGAGGCCCCUCCCUCAUCUACGGGUCAGGACGAGUUGAACAGGCGAUGCGACGAUUUCAUCAAGAAGAAUUACGAGCAGAUCCGAUUCCUCAGCGGCCGGCGGCUGUAGUUGGAGAUGCAAAUUACUCGUUACGCUAGUCUUCAUCUCUUCUCUUUCUCAACUUAAUCUUCUUUAUAGCUCGUUAAGCCCUUGUAAUGAAAGCUUUUAGUGUAGGGAGACUGCUGUGCUGCUAAAAAUCCUAUUUUUAAGGUAACUACUGUAUGAUGCAUUAGCCAAAACUAGUUUACGUCUGUCCUCUGCUUCAACAUUUUUAGCCUUUCAUACGAAGAGCAAUCCAAUUUUGGAUUCAUUUCCUCUUUCGUUUGUAGAUCUUUCUUUCUGCAAAUGUUCUGCUGUAUUAUUCUGAGGGAUGACAGGUUUGUGUUUCAUUGCCUUGUGGGAUUGCAGGUACUUCUGAUAUGCUGAACUUAUUCUUGACUUGGUGCUGCUGAUUGGACUGGCUGGUGACUUGUGCUGAUAGAUGGGAUGUUUGGUGGUCUUCAGUCUCACCUUUUGGUCUUCUGUUUGGUACUCUAUUUAACUCACUGUUCAAUACAUGUUUGUUAAGUGAUGGUACAGGAGUAUAUCCUGACAAUGAUCUGGAGUUCAUAUAAGCUUUUUACUUGCCAUGUGGGUUUGCUGAAUGUUUAUUAAAGUGACCAUAUUUACUCUUUGAUGAUGGCCAUUUUCCUUUUUUGGUGAUGGCCACAGAUCUUCAUGGCUUGUCUUUUGGUCUUCCCUGCUGCUUACAUUACAUUGUACACUAUGUUAUACUUUGGUACUAGCAGUUCACUUGAUAAGUAUUUGAAUCAUAUUGAAGUGUGAUCUGAAAGGUAGGAGGAGACCUUUGGAAUCAGUCUUGCUGGUAAUUCUCCUUUCACGUGAAUUGGUGUAAAACUAUCUAACUUGCUACCUCACGAUUAAUUUGUUUUGAGGAAAGCAUUAGUAUGUCAACAUGUUCGAUACUCUUAAAAGAAGAUAUUUAGAACUGUCAAGUUCUCAUGAACAUUAUGCACUGAUCACUCAAACCAGUUGUAUUUGAUGUGCAUGAUCAACAUGAAAGAUGAAAAUGAUUGAUGGGUAUCAAUUAAGUACAGACAUGACUACUGCAAAGGUACAAUUUACUUUGAAUGCAGGUAAAUUCAUGUUAGAGAUUCUCCUAAAAUAUGUAUGGUUUGGGAUGUUAGGAUGAAAUAAAAUGGGAGUGUGAUCUGAGCUUGGCUUUAUAAUCUGGUCUUAUCCACAAUGGCUGACUUUGAGACACACUGCCUCAUGAAUGUCAAUAUCUGUCACUCAUUGUCUCUGAUAUCUUCCAGAAUGACCCUAGUCUUGUGGUGAGUAAGAAGCAUAACUUCUUUAGCAUUGACUGCUGAUCAUUGGCAACUGCAGCAGAUAAAGGGAACAUAUCUUCUUCCUUAAGACACCAAAAGUGGUUACAGAAUUUAUUGGAUUAGGUUGAUUGGUUUGGUUUGUUCAUGUACACUUAUUUGAAGACAAUUCUUACUUAUCAAAUUGUCCUUGAUCUAUAUUGCUGAACUUCAACUAGUUUUCGGGUGGUACAACCUCACAUGACUCUCUUCGAGGUCCUUGGAUACCUUUUACAAUGUUCUCUCUUUAAUGUGUGAUUUUACACUCAUUUCUCUUUGAAGAAAACUGACUCAAAUUUAUUACUUACACCUCUUGAGGAGAUCUUUUUGCGUAGUUCUGCAGCAGUAUCUGAGUUGAUAGCAUCUGGCUAAAAACUAGUUUGUUUUUUGGUAGACAUUAUACAAUGGAAUGUAAUCCCUUUGUCAAGGUUGAAUUCAGCUUGAAGUGAUUCUCAUUUUCCUGUUGAGGUUGACAAUACAAGAGUUCAUUUUCUUAGAUCGUGUGAUCAUUUGUGCCUCUCAGAGUUGAGUCUUGGUCCAACAUGAUGGUGACAAGUGAAAUGGCAUUCAACACAAUUCUAAGUGCAUUAUCAAGUUCAGCACAACUUUUCCAUUUCAUGCUACAGUCAAGUAUCACUUUCCUCUUCUGAUGUUUUAACUAACUAGUUUUUGCAGACCUUUGGCAUAAUCAUUGUCUUUAUCACCCAGGUGAUAAAGGAGAAGAUGUUUCUUGUCUUAUAAGUACAAAGUUGCAAUAGGAUUUUGGAGCAUGACUGAUUUAAACUUGUCAUUCUGUCUGUACAAAAUGUUCUGUAUCAUUCUGUCUGUAAGUACAAAAUGUUUUCAAGUAUCAUUCUGUCUGUUCUGUUAAUGACAAUUCAUCUUAUAGCAUCAUUUUGGCUCUUUUAUUGAUCGAUGUUGAAUUGCUUGUCACCCAAAUGCAUGUUAACACAACAUAAGUGUAGGGUGUUGCAUAAAGAAUUGUAAUGGAAGAUUGAAACCAAAGAAGAUGAUUGAUUUAUCAAAAAUAAUCAGAAAGGUGAUACCUAAUCUAUUGUACUUGUCGUUAUUGGCACAGUUUCUUGGCUUAGUACCGGAUAAGUCUCCCAGCAAGAUUGAUGGUGACUAUAGAGUGGCUUCAACAGAAAGAACUCAAAGCCUGUAGAUCCUUAUAAAUGCAGGAGACAAUCUAAACAAUAGCUCAUCAUGAGUUCAGAGAAAUGGUUCUGAAACUAUCAGAGGAUGAACAAUAUCUUUUUCUUCAUGUCGAUGGUGGCCUGUCAGUACGAUCUGAUGUGUUUGUGAACACUGUCAUCCAUGUGUAUGUAAUUUGAUGGAUCAUGAACUGUCAAGCAACAUACCAACCAAUGGAAGGUGAACUUUCUGGGCCAAACAAUCACGUCAAGCCAAACAAGUGACCAGAAGGCCAUGAAGAGAUGAAGGUGGAGAUAAGGUUAGGAAUAAUUUAGUAAGCUUGAUUGGAGAUCACCCAUUGCUAUCAUUUCCCACCAGCACUGGGACAUCCAAGAUGGCGUUAGAUUUGAGUGAUAUACAUGAAUACAUACAUACAUAUAUAUAUAUACAUAUAUAUAUAUACAUAUAUAUAUAUAUACAUAUACAUAUAUAUACACAUAUAUAUACAUAUACAUAUAUAUAUAUAUAUACAUAUAUAUAUAUACAUAUAUAUGUAUAUAUAUGUAUAUUAUGUAUAUAUAUGUAUAUAUAUAUAUACAUAUAUAUAUAUAUAUAUAUACAUAUAUAUAUAUAUAUACAUAUAUAUAUAUAUAUAUAUAUAUAUAUAUAUAUAUAUGUAUGUAUAUAUGUAUAUAUGUGUGUGUUAAAUUUUAAUCGACAUGAAUGUCCUUUAAAAAAGCUUUGUCAUGAUAGAAAGAAAUUAGAUGUUGUAUGUUUAAAGAGUUCCUGUUGAAUAGUCGGUCUUCUUCUUUACCUAAUCAACUGCUCUGUUUCUAUCGUUAUUGAAAGAAUAAAAUGAAGAAGACGUAUUUAGACUGCUAUGUUUCUAUCAUUAUUGAAAGAAUAAAAUGAAGAAGAUGUAUUUAGUGAAGAUAUGAUACUCCCUAUUUAUACACGUUAUGAGAGAUGAUUUUUCUCAACAGAACUAUAAGAUUUCCUCGUGGGGGAAAUCUUAGCUACUAUCACAAGAAAUCGUAGUCGCUAUCAUGCUCUUGCCAGAUAGUACUUCUAUUAAGGAUGUCGAUCUUGGACCGAUGCGAUAAAAAUAGUUUGUGGACGAGAGGCUUCAUGAGUGAGUCUGCUAGUUGAUCAGUCGUAUGUAUGUAAGAAACACGUAGUUGAUGUUUGACAACUUGUUUUCGUACGAAGCGAAUGUCGAUGGCAAUAUGUUUCAUGUGUAAGUGAAAUACUGGAUUAACGCAUAAGUAAGUGGUUAUGACAUUAUCACAAUAUAUUGUAAGAGUAGAGGUGGAGUCGAUGUUAAGUUCCUUGAGCAGAUUUGUGACCCAAUUGAGUUCUACAGUAGUGGUUGCAAUGACACGGUAUUCAGCUUCAGUUGUAAAUCGUAAAACUGUCUUUUACUUCUUAGAACUCCAACUGAUUGGAUUAGCUCCAAGGAAGAUAAUAUACCCCAAUGUGGAUAUUCUAUCAUCAGAGUUUCCUAUCCAAUCAGCAUCAACAAAGGCAUGGAGAUGAAGGGGGAGUGUUUGCAAAAAAAGAGUCUAUGAUUGAGGGUCUCAUUAAGAUAUCGCAAGAUUCGUUUAACGGUAGACUAAUGCAUAGUAAAUGGACGAUGUAUGAAUUGUGAUAAUUUAUUGACCGCAAAUGAGAUAUCUGGGUGAGUGAGAGAUAAGUGCUAUAAGGAGCCAAGUACUUGACGGUAUUGAGUUGGGUUCGUAGCAAGGCUAGUAGAUAGAUUCACUAGUAGAUAGAUGAGUUGAGUUCCAUCACAUAGUUCGAGUGAUUCACUAGUAGAUAGAUGAGUUGUAAUUGUUUUUGUGUCUUACAUGUUUAUCUUUGAUAACAUAUCCUGAAUAUACUUUCUUUAUGAUAGGAAGAAUCCUAAAGAUGUAUAUGUUGCUUCCACUCCCAGAAAGUAGUUUAAGGUUCCUAGAUCUUUGAGGGAGAAUCGAUCUACCAAAUGCUUAAGGAAUGCCUUGAUCUUCAUGAGAUUAUUGCUUGUGACAAUAAUGUCAUCCACAUAUACUAGAAGAUAUAUUGUAUUGUCACUUUAUUGAUGGAGAAAUAGUGAUGUAUUAGACUUGGAGUUGAUAAAGCCAGUUGAUGUCAAAAGCGAGCCAAGUUCGAUGUGUUAGGAAAAGAGUCGGCACUAAGGAGGGGGGGGGGGGGGGGUGAAUUAGUGCAGCGGUAAAAAUUACGGUGGUUCAAAACUUCUUUGCGAUUAAAUCCGUUUUUGAUAAAAAAUCAUUUCGUAAAGGUAUUAACUUUGAAAGCGUAUGGAAGAGCAUAGUGAAUGUAAAGCAAGUAAAGUGGUUUGCAGUAAAGUAAAUUGCACAAGAGAAACGCAAACCAGAUUUUUAUAGUGGUUCGGUCGUCGUGACCUACAUCCACUUCGUCGAUUCCUCUUCCGUCGAGGCUACCGGCAUCCACUAUCGGUCUUCUUUCAAUGGGUGAAGACCAAUUAUCCUUUUACAUCCCUCUUCUCCUUUUCACAGGUUUGGGAGACAACCUUUUACAAUUCUAUUUUACAAGAUAUCCAUCUCAUACCUCCCUUAGAAUUCUUUCUAAGCUUUGAGAGGAGGGAACUUAAUUUUCUAAGUUUUAUAACUUUAGAAUCAUAGAGUUUUGCUUAAUAUUUCUUGCUUAUCUAUGCAGAAAUAGCUGGGGUAUUAAUAGGCCCCAAAUGGAUUCAAAUUUGGAGCCCAAAAUUCAAACCCCUAAAAUUUUAGGGUACGGGCGGUACCACCGCCUGCAACCUACCACUGGGUGGUACCACCGUCCAAACUAGCGGUACCACCACCCAAAGAGUCUCGGAGACUGAGUCUGGGCAGUACCACUGCCUAACAUAGUCUCGAAGAUUAUGCCACGAUGAUUUCACCUGUGUGGUCAUUGUUUGGGCCUUUCUCUUGGCCCAACACAGCCCAAACUUGGCCCAACUAUCUCCUAAUUGGGUUGGCCCAAUUCUAAUCCCUAUUAUAUGCUAACUAUAAAUUUUAAGACAUUUACUAAGCUAAAUAAAGUUUGUAAGUCUAGGUUUCUUCUUGCGAGCUUCUAGCGAACUUCCGACGAUCUCUCGGCAAUGUUCCAACGGACUCCCGGCAAGCUCCUGGACUUCAUGAUGAUCUUCUUAGCGAGUUCCAAUGAACUUCUUUGGCAAGCUCCGGGACUUCUCGGUCAAUUUCGACAGAACUUCCGACGAACGUCCGAACUUCCGACGAACUCUCGAACUCCCAACGAAAUCACGUUUUUGACUUCGAGAUUUCAUUUUGCUUUAUGCCUUGCUAUCGUAGUUAAUCUUGCACAUGUAAAAAUAUAUUUCGAUCUAGACAAUUAUUACUAAGCAUGAAUCAUGUUGUCCGGUAUGUCAUUGGUCCAUCGACGCUUCAUCCGAUUCUUCGACGCAUCAUCCUCUCUUGCAGCCUAUUACCCAAUCGGCCAGUUGACCUCUGCAACUCCGAUAUUCUUGGCGUAAUUUCCACUCUUCUUAGCCCGAUGGCCGAAUCCAUGGCCUAAAGCAUUCUAUCGAUACGUCAUCUGAUCCUUCGGCUAGACGUCCAAUCUUUUGACAUGUUCCACCGGUCCAACAUAAUUCUUCCUACUUUAAUUGUCUCAUCCUGAUCGAAGCAUCCUGCGUCACUCAAAACAUAGAUCAAUUCAUAAAUACUUAUCAAUUGGUUUCAUCAUCAAAAUUCGAGAUUCAACACGAUGUACUAGUCUUUUGGAGCUUGAUGAAGUCCAUAAAUAGCUUUUUAUAGUUUACAAACAUGCCUUAGAUACUGAAGGUGGAUGAAGCCAGGAGGUUACUACAUGAAUAUAUCUUUAGUUAGGGUCUCCUGUAAAAAGGUAUUGUUAAUAUCGAGUUGUCGUAAAUGCCAACCUUUUGAGAUGACCAAACUCAGGAUAAAUCAGAUUAUUGUGGGUUUAACAAUGAGACUAAAUGUCUUUGUGAAGUCAACAUCAGAACGUUGAUGAAACCCUUUGACCACUAGACACACUUUAUAUUUGGUAACAAAUCCAUUUGGAUUCCACUUAAUUCGAAAGACCCACUUAUACUCGAUGAUAUUUUAUAUGAGAUGAAAAGGUAUAAGGGUCCAUAUAGAAUUAUGGAGGAGGGUAUCAUAUUCUUCACAUAUGAAUUUACGAGAUUUUUGGACUUAAGUAAAUGUGGUAGUCGGUCCGAGGGAGAGGAGGAGGGGCGAGAGGCGGGGGAGGGUGCUAGUCUUCAAGAAGCGAUGAAACUGCUUAUCGAUUCAGGAGGACAAGUGCAGAGAAUUCCGACGGUGAAGUUGUCAGUGGUGUGGGCCAGCAACUUCUUCUACAUCUACCAAUUCAACAACGUGAACGACCUCCUCUUCAACUUGAGGACCAAGAGGCUCAACAACAUCUUCUACUGGGGCACGCAGAUGGUCAGCUCGAUGGCCAUCGGCUACGUGUUGGACUUCAGCUUCAGGAGCCGACGGACGAGGGCAAAAAUACUGGUGUAGAUCAGUAGUGGGGGAAGACAACUGUCGCAAUGCACGAGAGCCAAGGGAAGAGGGGUGCAUCGAGCAGGUUCGGCAACGUGUGCGAAACGCAGGGAAGAUGGGAGUGCAUUGGGUAAUAGAGGAGAUCAAAGUUGAUGUCACCGAUAAAAUGCAAGAGAGUCUCUAAUACCAUAAAAGAAUGAAAUGAAGUGUUAGAGCUAGUCUCAGAAAAUUUACCAAAGAGUAAUUUGGUAACCCAAAAAAGAUAAGAAAGUAGAAAAAAUAAAAACGACAAGAACACCAGAUUUACGUGGUUCGGUCAAUUGACCUACAUCCACGGACGAAGGAGGAGUAAAUCACUACUAUAAAAAAGGGACUAUUAUAAAUGCCUUAGGAAGAUGUUCCUAGGCCAUUUCAAAGCCCAGGCCUUUAUUUAUAGUUUAAACAGGAGAUACCAAACUUGAUUUUUCUGAUGUGGGACUUGCCAAACUAACAAAUCUCCACCUUGGCAUGUCUCAACAUUAACAAUUAACAAAACUUACUCCACCUUAUUCACAAAAGCCCCAAUGGGCAAUCAUCAACAAUGAACACCAACCAAGUCCAAGCACUGCUUGAACUUGUAAACCGGAAGAGGCUUCAUAAGCAUAUAAGCUAGAUUGUCUUUCGUAUGAAUUUUCUGAACAAGGAUUUUUCCCUCAGCAAUGGUACCCCGAAUAAAAUGAAACUUUACAUCAAUGUGUUUCGUCCUUUCAUGAUACAUCUGGUCUUUAGUCAAAUAAUACAUCUGGUCUUUCAUGAUUCACCGAACAAACCUCUUAACUAUAAGACUUCUUUGAUCGCCUCUAUCACUGCCAUAUAUUCUACCUCUGUAGUAGAUAAAGCCAUGACAGGUUGUAAGGAAGCUUUCCAACUAACUACACAACCGCCAAUGUAAAAAACAUAGCUUGUCAAAGAUCUUCGUUUAUCAAGAUCCGUAGCAUAAUCAGAGUCAACGAAACCAACCAAAGUAUCAUGAUUUUUCCCAAACUCCAAACAAGCAUCUGAAGUCCCUUACAAGUAUCUGAGAAUCCACUUCACAACCUGCCAAUGUGUUUUACUUGGGCGAGACAUAUAUCUGCUAACCACACUGACUACUUGUGAAAUAUCUGGAUGAGUACAAAUCAUUGCAUACAUAAUAUUGUCGAUGGCACUGGAACAUGGAACUUGCACUAUAUAUUCUUCCUCUUCAACUAACUAUGGUGAUUGAGCAGCAAAUAGUCGAAAAUGGCUAGCAAGAGGAGUACUUACUGGCUUAGCGUUUUUAAUGCCAAACCUCUCCAAGACUUUCUUGAGGUAAUUUUUCUGGGUCAGAAAUAAUUUUCUAACUCCUCGUUCUCUUUUGAUCUCCAUGCCAAGAAUUUUCUUAGUUGCUCCCAAAUCUUUCAUUUCAAAUUCACUACUUAGUUGCAUUUUCAAAGUAUAAAUUUCUAACAAAUUUUUAGCUGCAAUAAGCAUGUUAUCAACAUCAAGCAACAAAUAUACAAAAGUGCCAUCAGUUAACUUUCGGAAGUAGACACAGCUAUCAUACAUGCUCUUCGUGUAACCAUGACCCAACAUAAAAGAAUUAACCCUCUUAUACCAUUGUCUUGGAGACUGUUUCAAUCCGUACAAGGAUUUCUUUAACAAACAAACAUGGUCUUCCUUACCGUCAACUUCAAAUCCAUGAGGUUGCUCCAUGUAAAUUUGUUCUUCAAGUUCACCAUGUAAGAAAGCUAUCCUGACAUCAAGUUGCUUCAAUUCUAAAUCAUACAUGGCAACUAAAGCAAACAAAACACAAAUAGAGCUAUAUUUAACAAUAGGUGAAAAUACGUCAUUAAAAUCAACACCAUGUACCUGACUAUAACCUUUUGCAACUAAUCGUGCUUUGUACCUUGCAUCUUCAACCCCUGGAAUACCUUCCUUCUUUUGAAGACCCAUUUGCAUCCAACAAUUUCCUUACCCAAAGGCGGCUUCACAAGAUCCCAAGUUCUAUUCCGAUGGAGAGAUUCAAUUUCUUCAUUCAUCGCAAUCAACAACUUAGCGAAAUUAUCAUAAGAAACUGCAUUUGAGUAGGUAGUAGGCUCACUAACUUCACUUGUUUCUUCUGCAACAGACAAAGCAUACGCAACCAAAUUUGUAUAUCAUUGUGGUGGUCGAAUAUCUCUCCGUGGUCUAUCCUUGGCUAUGGAAUAUUGCUCUUCAUCUAGAUCAUCUUUGUCAGUAGACUCAAGACCAUCUAUUGGCAUUCUUUGAGUAAAAGAGUUCGACUUAAAAGAAUCUGAACUACCAAUCUCAAGCUCCACCUACACACUAUCAUUUGUACAACUAGUAGAUUCCUCUUUGGAAGAUAACAUAGACAAUUCAUCAAAAGUAACAUCUUUACUGAUUAUAAAUUUUGGGGAUUUAGGAUCAGAACACCAUAAUAUGUAUCCUUUCACCCCAGAAGCGUACCCAAGGAAAAUAUACUUUUUCGCUCGAGGCUCUAAUUUUCCUUCAUUUACAUGCAUGUAUGCUGGACACCCAAAAAUUUUUAAAUCAAAGCAAUCAGCAGGAGUACCUGACCAAACUUUCUCCGGAGUUUUAAAGUUAAGUGUUGUAGAAGGAGCGCGGUUGACAACGUAACAGGCCAUAUUAAUCACCUCUGCCCAAAAGUCCUUUGUCAACCUUGCAUUUGAGAUCAUACACCUUGCUCUCUCCAAGAGUGUUUUGUGUUUACGUUCGAUCACACUAUUUUGCUGAGGCGUCAUCCUAACAGUGCGAUGCUAAACAAUUCCUUUAUUUUUGCAGAAUUCAUCAAAGUCACCUUCACAAAAUUCCAUGUCAUUAUCUGUUCGAAGCCGCUUAAUCUGUUUACCUGUUUGCUUCUCAAUCAAAGCAUUCCAUUGUUUAAAGGUUAGAAAAACAUCAUUUUUAUACUUUAGAAAAUAAACCCAAACUUUCCUAGAAUAAUCGUAAAUGAAAGUUAACAUAUACCUAGCACCACCCUUAGACUGAACACGAGCUAGACCCCAAAGGUCUGAAUGAAUAUAGUCAAGAGUACCAUUUGUUUUGUGAACUGCCGGAGAAUUGAAGCUGACUCUUUUCUGCUUUCUAAAAAUGUAGUAUUCACAAAAAUCCAGUGGCCAAGUACUCUGUCCGUAAAAAAGACCUAUUUUACUCAAUAUGCUUAAACAUUUUUCACUCAUAUGACCCAAACGUAUAUGCUAUAAUUUGGUGAUGUCAUAAUCAGACAAUGAUGAUGACGAAACUGCAACUGAGCCUGUGACAGUAGUUCCCUACAAAAUAUACAAGCUACCAGACCUACAAGCUUUCAUAACAACAAGAGCACUUCUAGAAACUUUCAUAACUCCACCUUCAGCUACGUAUUUACACCCAAGAACCUCUAGGGUGCCUAAAGAAAUGAGAUUCUUUUUUAAAUCAAGAACAUGUCUAACAUUAGUGAGUAUCCUCACAAUACCAUCAUGCAUUUUAAUUCGGAUUGUGUCUCUACCAACAACAUCACACGAGGCAUUAUUGCCCAUCAAAAUAAUUCCACCAUUACAAGAUUCAUAUGUGGAAAACAAAUCUCUAUUAGGACACAUGUGAUAAGAACAAUCCGAAUCUAAAAUUCAUUCAUUUUUAGACCUCGUCCUAUCAUCAGUAGCAAAGAAAAUAUUUCUAACAUUCUCAUCAGUUGCUACACUAGCUUCAGCGGACUCAGUAGUUUUCUCAAUAAUUUUUCCCUUUUGUUUUAAUUUAUUUUUUAAUUUAAAGCAAUCAGCCUUAAUGUGUCCCAUUUUAUGACAAUAUCUACACUCCAAAUUUUUAUGUUUGGAUUUAGAUCUAGAUUUAGAUCUACUUCUGUUAAAUUUCCUUUUAUCUGUUCUACCCUUGACAAUCAGACCUUCAGCCUGAUUCUCUCUACUUUCGCUAGUGAUAUCCCUGUCUAUCUAUGAUUUUAGUGUAGAUUUAAUUUUCUGAUACGAAAUUAUUUCUUUUCCAUAAAUCAUAGUAUCACGGAAAUACUUAAAUGAUUGAGAAAGAUAACACAAAAGCAACAUAGCCUUAUCCUCGUCAUCAAUUUUUGCAUCUAUAUUCUCCAAAUCUAUAACUAAGGAAUCAAAUUUAUCAAGAUGUGAGAGUAUAGAUGUACCUUCAAUCAUCCGAAGCAUAUACAAACUCUACUUCAAGUAGAGACAAUUCGCUAUUGUCCUCUUCAUAUAUAAGGCUUUAAGUUUGUCCCACAUGCUCUUAGCCGUAGUCUCUGUAGCUACCUCCCGUCAAACUUCGUCAGAGAGAUUUAGAAUAAUGCUUGAUCGGGUCUUCUUAUCCAUACCCAUAAGAUCUUCCUUCGAUGUACUAUAGGUCAAUUGACCAAUAUCCACGGACGAAGGAGGAGAAAAUCACUACUAUAAAAGAGGGACUAUUACAAAUGCCUUAGAAAGAUGUUUCUAGGCUAUAAAACAUGAAAUUACUAAACAAGAAAAGCCUAAAGCAAACAAUUAGGUUUUCUUGUGGUUUAUCUGACUUCAAAGUACAGGCCCUUAUUUAUAGUUUAAACAGGAGAUACCAAACUUGAUUUUCCUGAUGUGAGAUUAUGUGGGACUUGCCAAACUAACAUAUGGUGCUUCCUAUUUAUACAUGGGAGGAAGGAUUUUUCUCAGUAAAAUUUGCUUGUGCAGUUGAAAAUUUUUAGCUGUUAUUAAUUAUGUCAUAAUUUCUACGUCACUGCUCCAAUAACACAUCCAUCUUCCAGUAUAAAUCCAGAAUAAAUUAAAAGGUGAGAAGUUCUGUUAGCAUUAUGUCUAAUUUCUUUUGCUUUUAUGCAUGCCAUGGAGAAGGCUAAGGAAUGGAUGAGUUUUGAAGAUUGUCUGAGUUCUUCAGACUCGUUCAAUCAAUGCAGGAAUGCUAGGAAAGUGCCAUUGCUCCAAGUCGUCAGCAUGGACGAGUUGGGGAAGAAUUGCAUGAUGAAGGAUUCUAUUUCAAGAACAGCAUUGAUCCUGACUUCUUCUGAGAAAUUGAGAGCAGUUUCAGUACCAACUACAACAAGAAGUUGUGACAUUUUCUCCACUUGAAAUGUACAAAAAACAGUAGAAAGCAGUCUCCAACUCUGAUGAAUGGAUUCACUGCAAAACUCCUACUUGUGAUUUUGAAAUCACUCUUCUCAAGUAGUUCAAAGAUCUCUGAUAGCUGAGAAAUCCCAUGAACCAGAACUCAAACUCAUCCACAGUCACUAUCUGGAUGUACUUUUGGUUAGGCUUCUGUGAGUUCUCACACAGGCUGGCUCUUCUCACCCUUCCUACUGGGAUCAAAACCUGUGGGAAGCGAUUGAACUCAGUUAUGUGUCAGAAACAUUCUACACACUGAUCAACAAGUUUGAUUCCCAAGAAGAAGUACCUUGUAAGGAACUCUGACCAAAUUUCCUCUGGGAGAAGUAACUCUGAUUGAUCUAUCACUGCGGAAGGCGAUCUUGUGAGUUGAAAUGAAGAGCAGCCCUGCUAUGGGACCAGCUGUGGUUGACAGAUAGCACUGGAAUGCCUGCAGCAGCUUUUCUCCUCUUUCGACUGAGAAAUUUUUUCUGAAAACUCUUUCGACACCUCCAGCUCGAAGGAUCUUUGCACCCAAGCUCAAUUUUCCCUUCACAGUCUCUGAGAUUUUGGGCCCUAAACUCACUGCACUUCCAAAAAAAUCACAAGGCUUCUUGCUUAGUUGCUAAUGUUUGGCAACAAUAUUUGCCAUGGAGGGAACCUGUAAGCUUAUUAUGCCGUGAGCUUACCAUGAUCUUUGAUGCCUUUCAGAUAGCCGUCCGCUUUUUUGCUGAACUUUCUCAUCCAAUCAACAGGUGCAUCCGCUUCUGCAUUCCAAAACGAUUCUGUGAGCUCCUAGAAGUCAUCGAGAAUAACAAGUAACUUCACAUGACAAAGAUGGUAUUACUUUGUUUGUACUGGGAGGACUCGUACGAGGUGGGUUGAAGGCACAGUCUCUUGAGCUCCGUGACGACUGCAGACUUUCCACACAUUUCGGCUGCAUAUCUGAUCGACUGGACAGGAACGCCUACAGCUUGAGCACGGCUUGUGUUCUUCAUGUUGAACCGAGGCACAGCUACCGAUUCCACUCUCCGGGAGAAAGGUCGGGGAGAGUCUAUGCUCCAAGAGACCGGUGUGGAGGCCUUUUAUAAGGCGAAGCAACCGCUGAUACUGUCACCCCAACCAUACUGCACAAUGCGUGAAGCAGAAUCAGCAUGGAAUCAUCAGCCACAAAGGCAUCCUCGUGAAUCCAGAAAAGAAAAGGAAAAGUCGAUCGACAGUUCAUCAUCAGCCACCAGAAACUAUAAAGAAAAGUAAAAGAAAGCCCCCCAAAGCCUUCUUUUGCUGCCUUAACCGAGUGAGCAAGUUCCGAGAUAACAUAUCAUACUGGGGCAUGCCAUGUGCUUCGAUCGAAUCAAGGCAACUCCACUCUCAUCUCUUUCCCCAAAAACUAUCAUGCAGCAUGUCUGACACGGUUGUGAGUCAGCAGCUUAUUACGUAGAAGCUUUUCAGUGAUAGCCUACGUUCAUGCUUCUUUGCUUGAUCGGGGAGAAAUAUAUAACAGUACACGAAGAGAAUGAGAAGGAAAGCUAUCGAGGCAACCUUCCGAUGGAAGGAAAGUGAUUGGGAUCACAUCAAUGGAGACAAAAAAAA